AAAAAAAAAAAAAAAAAAAAAAAACUUAAAAGUAAAACAUUGCAUAUCAAUAUAAGUGCUUGAGAUUUUAUAUAUUCAAAAAGAGUGUACUCACGUUGUUUUCAACGUCAGCAAUGAUAACUCCUUUUCCUUUUACUUCCGUUUUUCUUUUACGUUGUGGAAGUAUUCCUAAAAUCUCAUAAUUCUGAACAGCUAUCAUGGACCGCAAAGUAAGACGUCUUUUUUUAUGAUGAUAUGUCUGCAGCACAAAAUUGAUUAAAUAUCGAUCAUGUCAAUAAGAAAAUAUAAGAAAACAUGUUUAAGAUGUUGAUAUAAUAAUAGUUUGGGAUAUGUCAAAAUGGUUAUCGGGCCACUAAUGUUCUCAUCUAUAAAGACUAGAAUUUAGGUGGAAAUCAUUUAGUUCUUAUAGAACAAUAUUGGCUUCAGGAAAAAAAAUUGAGCGGCAAAUAUUAUUAAUAACAAAAGUCUCUACACAAGAAGAACAGAGACCGACAUACAAAAUCUAAAAGAAAAAACCAUUAGAACUAAUAUAGACAUUGCUUAAACUUAGGGCUACCUUGAACACCAAUAACAAAUAUAACCACCAAAACUAAAUUCAACACAGAAAUCAACGUCACACCCAUCAUACUUUCUCGCGAGCGCUCAUAGAAACAAAAUUCAAUCACCUACAGACUACUGCUCACCGUAACCACUCUAAAAAACCACCCAAUCGAUUAAAACCCCCCAAAAUGAUAAUGUCAACUUCUCAACACCACAUCAAACCCCAAUUACACACUCGAGCAAUGACUUAUUCUCACACUCCUUUGAAUUCCUCCACAACUCAAUCUCCAGUCCACCGGAGAAGACACCAAAACAAGCCCAAAAACUUGAGUCAAGAAACUAACUUCCGAUAUCGAAUCAAAAGUGAUAGGCCCACCAGACUCAAGAAAUAUAAGAACGCCAUUGAUAGCUUUUGAACUUCAACAUCUUUAAAAACUAUUUUAGCUUUGCAUUCUUAUUUAAUUUAUAACUAUCAACUUUCAAAUUCUUUAAUUUUCUCAAGGAAAAUUGUUAACUUCUCAUGUCUAAUAAACUUAUUUUAACUUAAGCAAAAUAACUUUAAAACAUUGUAUGCUUGCUUAUAACUUAAAAUUAAUAUUUUGUAAUACAUAUACUUAAAUAGUUUUUCUUAUAUCCAUGCUUAUAUUUAUUGAGGAAAAACAAGAUCAUGAUUAGUCAUUUCCCAUUGUAUCCCUAAUUACAUGAUUUUUUUUUAUCAAAAGUGUUCAUUUCAAAAUUGAUAACAUACCCUAUCGAUCCUAGAUCCGUUGCUUCUUGGUGUCUCUUUAAUUUCCCAAUUGUUCAUCCAUUCAGCUGUAAACCCUUUGGAAAAUUUGCAUGAUAUUGGUUCAGCGUCAUAAAUUACUUCAUCUUCCUGGUCAAUUGACAUACAUGAUACAAGUGUAAUUAAACUAACUACAUAUAUCUCACAAAAAUUAAUACAAUGCAUGUACAAAAUAAGAAUAUAAUUUAUUUUAUUAAAUAGAAAAUCUAAUAUGCCAGAGUUGGUUUAAUUUAUAUAGAUAUUUAUUCAUUAUUGUCAAAGUAUUGAUAGUAAUAAAGAGAAAUUUGUUAAAAUAGAAUGAAGAAGUGUACUAUAUACAUAAAAGAAAACAAACUAGUAAAUAAGGUGCAAGAUGAUCAAACUAGAUUCUUUAAUUUUAUAAUUCAUAUCAACGAACAAUAACUCUUCCAAAUCAAAACACAUUAAAGAAAAUAUACAUUUCAAUUAGAUCUCGAAUAAAAACUAGAGAAAUAAAAUAUAAAGGAAGAUAUUCAAAUAGAUAAAGGUCUAGAAACAUAAGGGGAUUAUAGAAAAAUUUCAUGCUUUCAAUAUGUAAUUUUAGGUGAUAAUUUCAUUAUUUACAAUAUUGUAUGGUAUGUGUAUCAUCCCUUAUUAGAUCACUUGCUCAUGUCAAAUUUUAGUUUUCCCAUUUAAGAAUUUAAUGUGAUGUUACAGAUCACACAGUUAAAAAUUGGAUAAGUAUUGUAUUAAAAAAUCUCUAUUGAAAUAUACAAUAUAUUUUAAAGUUUGAUAUAAUAAAUUUGGAAAAUGAAUGACAAACAAGUUUUUAUAUAUCCGUAUACUAUGAUUGAACCAAAAGGAUAUGCAUAGAACAAGUACAACUUCUAGAGAGGAAAAAAAACAUAUAUUAAAAUAUGAUUUAUUAAAAUGGAUAUUAGAAAAUAAAAUAAAAAACCUAACAGAUCAAACAAUGAAACUGUAGUAUCUACCUUUUCCUUCAGAGUCUCGAUAUUUGAAUUUGAAUUAGCGGCCAUGGAUAGGAGCUCUGCUUAUUGCAAAACAAAGUGAACCCUAAUGAUUAGGUUUCAAAAUAUUUUGACAUCAAAAAUAUAAAAUGAUAUCCCUUUUAAAAGAGAUUAUUGUAACAUUGUAAGAGAGAAAGAUAAUAAUAAUAAUAAUAAUAAUAAUAAAAAUAAUAAUAAUAAUCAUAAUAAUAAUCAUAAUAAUAUAAUGAUAAUGAUAAUAAUAAUAAUAAUAAUAAUAAUAAUAAUAAUAAUAAUAAUAAUAAUAAUAAUAAUAAUAAUAAUAAUAAUAAUAAUGAUGAUGAUGAUGAUACUAAUAAUAAUAGUAAUAAUAAUAGUAAAUAUAAGUUACUACCAUAAAUUUUAAGAUAAAGUUAAUAAUAGUCUUUUUGUGCUUUCGUUUCAAAAUUAUUCAAAGUGAUGACUGAACCCUUUUAUUAGAAAAAUAUUUCCUACAAAAUCAUUUGAUUUUUAAAAAGGUCCCUGCAAAAUAUUUUACUUUUGAAAAUAGUGGUGGGACUAUUUUCAAAAGUAAAAUAUUUUGCAGGGACCAAAAACAACAACAAAAAUUUACAGAGACUAAAAACAAAACGAGACAUAUUUACAAGGACCAAAACUAUAUUUUAGUCUAAUAUCAAAUUCUUACCAUAUAGUUGACUCCUAUUGAAAGUUAUAUUAAAAAGUCAAUAUAUAUAAAUUAGGAAAAUUAUAAGUAAUUUGACUAAGAUUAUAUAUAUAUAUAUAUAUAUAUAUAUAUAUAUAUAUAUAUAUAUAUCAGUCAAAGGUUUCUUUAAAAAAAUCAAUAUCAGUCAAAGUAUAUAUAUAAAUAUUAAAAUAUAAUAUGUCCAUCUAUUAAUACCAAUUAAAGCAUAUAUAGAUAUUAUAAUAUCUCAUUUCAAAAAAAAAAAAGAUAUUAUAAUAUAAUAUUAUAUAUUUUUUAGGAUAUAUAAUAAUAUAUACACACACAUAUAAUGAAUUUUAAGAAUUCAUUGAAUAAUUGAUGUAUUAUAUCUAUAAUAUUGAUUAGAUACACUAAUUAUUCAAUGAAGACCCUAGUACUCAACAAUCCGUCUUUGCAUAGAUCGAAAAUCAUAGUACACACUGAUUUAAACAUCAACAUUCACACCACUCACCAAUCUCAGAAAGCAACAAUUCACGUAUCAAUCACAACAAUAACUUCGUUAUAACUUAAUGUUUUUAUCUCCCCAUUAUCAUCACUCUUAAUAUCGUCAAUUAUCACAACAAUAACUUCAUUAUAACUUAAUGUUUUUAUCACACCAUUAUCAUCUUUCUUUAUAUCAUCAAUUUUCAAAAAUCACCGUCUCAUAUUUUCAAUUAUCGUUGUCUUAUACUCCUCUAGUUAAUUUGUAUCUUAGACUCACCAUUACUCUAAAGGGAUCACUUCAAAAUCACCUAAACACACUAUCAUCACCUAAGUACAUCUAAAACAAUGUAGUGAUUAAAAUAAGUAUCAAUCUAAUUAGAUUCAAACAUGUGAAAAAGGGAAAAUUUGAUGCUGUCAAAAUUUGAUACGAAUCAGAGAUCUUUGAAUCGAUUCAAAUGGUUAAAAAAAGACCAUAAGUAAACAGUGAUACGAAUCAAGGAUGUGUGAUUCGAUUCAAAAUUUUCCAGGUGAAGAUUGAUAUGAAUUAAAAAUAUAUGAAUCGAAUCAAUGACUUGGAAAACAGAGUUUUAGCCUUGGGAUUACUUUUAAAUUGUCCAAAAACCCCUGUUUUCAAACCCUUAACUCACCAAUUCAUCCUCAAAAAUCACCCUUGGAUUACCCUAACAUCCAAACACUAAUUUCCACAAUUCACUUAAUACAACAAUUUCUUUCAUGUUUAAUUCACUAAUAAAAAACCCUAGUUGUUUUAAUCUUUACCAUUCAACCUAUACUCACCAACACCACACCUCAACACCAAUCAUCGUCAAUUUUUUUUACUGAUUCUCUAUGAUCAAAGUAUACAUCAUAAGGCUCAUAACUAAUCUAAAUUUUCGGAAUUAAUAGACACAACAAUAUAAGGAUUUUUGAACCAUUUCUCUCUUCUAUCACAAUUAAAAACUCAAAGAUGAAGGAUUCUCCCCUUACCUCGAAUUCACAGAUGAUUGCAGCUUUAUGCUUGAUUCCUUAGCUAGUGCCCUUCCCUCUUCUCCUAGGUUUCACGUACACUCUUUGCCUGCUCUGCCUCCUUAACCCUAGUUCUUCCUUUGCUCCUCUCAAUUUCUUUCUUUUUCUCUGUAACCCUAAUCCUCUAAUACUCUUCUCUAUUUAUAACCACUAUCUGGGCUUAAAUUUCUCACAUAAUUUUAUACACACACUUGUUAUAUGCACCUCUAGUCUGGUUACUAUAUUCUUUCGGUAACUACACAACCUUGAUGUUUACACCUCCCUCUGUCUAAAGCACUAAAACGCUACACAACUUGCUACUUACACUCCUUUUCUACUCAGUUUUACUGAUGCACCUCUGUUUGCAAUCCACUUUCUUAUUCUCACUAAAAACUGUAUUUUAUUCCUAAAAUAGUUUUCUCCCAUUAUUAACCGACUAAUUAACUCCUCUUCCUCCUCAUUAUUCACGACAUCUAUACCCACGAAUAAUUUAAUUUACUAAUAUCGAGCAAUCAAUACUAAAAAUAAUAAUAAGACUAAUAUUAUCCAAUAAUAAUACUAACAUAUUGAUAUUAAAAAUUGGGGUGUUACGGUUUGGUUGUUUCACAAAAUAGUUUGCAAUUCACAAAAUUAACUAUUUGUCAAUACAAUUAAUUAAUUUCAUUAGGAUUUCUACUGAUUUCAGGAACAAGCUUUACAAAAAUCUAGAAUUUAAUUUACUGUAAUUUUGGAAGAAGCGUCACAAAACCAUAGUUAAUCUAAAUAUCAAAUCCAAUUACACCUAUAACAAAAUAUUACAGAAUCUAAUGAUAUUUAUUUGAAUAUUGAUUCAAAUCAAGUGUCUAAAUAAAUAAAUUUGACUAACCUUGAUAGAAUUAAACUUUACAAAGUGACAUAAUUGAAAGAAGUAUUCAACAUAAAUCAAAGAAAAUAUAUUGUAAUCAACAUAUUGAAAAUCAAAAGAAAGAGAUAUUAAAUCAUCGAAAUGAAUUUGACAUUAGAAAUUCGAACCUAAAAAUAUAAAAUGGAAUCCUUGACUGCUGAAUAGAUAUACAAAAUUAGCUUCAAUGGAGUUUAAUUUCCCAACAACAAAAUACGAAAACAACUGAAUGAAAAGAUGGUUUGGUCUCCAACAAAAGAAAAACCCUUAUUUAUACUCCUAAAAUAUCAAAAUCUAAUCACAUUUUUGUCUAAACAAUUUGAACAUGAUUUAGGAUUAGGUAAUUAGCCCAAUUAGACAAUAUUAAGUGGCCUAAAAUUGUAAUUGAAGCUUUCUUUGCUUGUGUUGUUAUUUUGAUGAUUUUCACUAUGACUCUUUAAAGUUGUUUAUUUAUGUUUUUGUUUUAGGUAGUAUAGAUUAAAGCUAUGUCAAAGCAUCUAGCAAUCUUUGUCCCUUUGUUGCCUUGUGUGAUUUUUUGUCUUGCAUACAAUGCCUGCAUACAAUUAUACACUACAUGUCUUUUGAAUAGAGUCAUUUUAGCCUUAAUCAACUCACCGUUAGUCGCUGACUUGGAUAGAAUCGUUUCAUUGAUUUUCUGAAACGUAUCAUAUUUUAAUCGACUCAAAUCAACUUGAAUCGUAUCAUGAAAACUAAUAGACUUUUAGUAAGUGUACUCAAAAUGCAUCGAAGUAAUAAAAUAAGUUCGUAUCCAUGAGCAUUGUGUUAAUCUCAAUUCAACAAUAUGGUUAAUAUUCAGGAUGUGUAAAUUAUUUUGAUUCCCGAGGCAGUAGAUUUGAUGGCAUAAAAUUAAGGGUUAAUGGUGUUUUACCCCCUGUAAUAUAGGUCAUUUUUUAUUUUCCCCCUGUAAAAUAUUUUUUUUUAUUUACCCCACUGUAAAAUAUAUAUUUUUUGGAAUAGCCCCCUAAUAGGUCAUAAAAAAACGACUUUAUUUUUUUUUUUUGCAGAAUUUUUCGUUUUUUUAUGACCUAUUAGGGGGGUGUUCCAAAAAAAAAAAAAAAUCAGAGGGUAAAACAUCAUUAACCCUAAAAUUAAAUAACAGAAAAUAAAGAUUUGUUUGAAAAAUAUAUGAGAGAUGAGACUAGGUCUUUCGAAUCCUCUGAGUUCCCGUAUUUGCUACACUGCACCUAUUCUUAUGAAUGAUUUUCUAGUUCUACGAUAGUUAACAAAAUAGUUCUAAUAAAUCCCUUGAGUUAGGACCCUCUUCUCAAACUACAACCCCUAAUUUCUUAGGUGGUUUAAUAAUCUUUGAAGGUUUAAGCACGUUAACCUAAUAUCACUAACAAAAGAUUAUCCAUUCCUAGACUAACCAUGUUUAUUAGAACAAUUCAAUUAUGUCUAAGUUGAAAGCUAGGGUCUGUAGUCAUUCAUUCUCACUAAAUCAUGUUUAUAUUUGAUCAGGAUUUAAAAAGCAUUAAGAACAAUUGAAUUAAAUAAAAACUAGAUUGUCAUUCACAAUAAAUAGAGUUUCACAUCAACAUGGAUCAAUUAGGGUUACAGAGAAUCAUCUCAGACCUAAUCUCUAAGAGAGUUAGCUACUCAUAAUUGAGUUUACAAAUAGCAUAAUCAAUAGUGGAAUCAAAAUAUACAUGAACUGGUAAAAGGUUGAAGAAAUCGCCCUCAUAGCCACCUUGUAGUCUCAAAAUCGCACUUUGCUCUUCUCAAAUCGUAACCUUGUUUUAGAAACUGGCUUCAGCUUAAAUAGGCAAUUUUCCCAUUCUGGUGUUGUCAAAAACGUGUCACGAUUUUUGAACACGUGUCACGAUUUUAGUGGCAGUGGCAAACUCAAACUUUUUGUACUUUCUUGCUUUUUGCACCUCCAAGCUGUCUAAAAAUGCUCCAUACUUAAUAAAAACAUCAACACAACUGUUUCUUCAAAAUCUUCUAUUUUUCUCGCUUUCCUUGUUGUUUAAGCUUGCUUGUGAACUCAAAAAUAUCAUAAAAAGACUCUAAAAAUAUGAAAUGACGGACUAUCAUCACACCCCAAACUUGAACUAUUCCUUGUCCUCAAGGAAUCUACGUGGAAUAUUGACAAUCGACUGUAAAAUAACAAUUACCUGAUCAAGCGAUAAUACCCAAAAGUUCAACUCCUUACUAGCUAAAGAUGAGCUAGUUUGACUCGUACGUAUCCACCAAAUCACAACUCCACACAACAAAUUGAAUAGGUUUCACACACAAUCGACAUGCAGGUCUACAUAUUACGAUAGACUUGAAGAUUUUCUAAACGUCAAUCAAAGUCAAUAUCACUACACACUUUGAGGUCUUUCAAGGUUAUAACGGGGCUUAGGUGAAGGUGGGAUAAUAUUUGAAUAAGUAGGCUACACAAAAUUUGAGUUAGGCAUUCCUACGGAAGUUAAAGCACAAAAUUCAAUCCCUCUUCCCCCUUUGGAACAUCAAAACUUGUAAAGGUACUAGAGAAUACUUGUAACUGUUGGGACAAUCGAGUUUAAAGUUACUCGGAUUUUCAAUGAUUUGUCCCUUUUUCAUUUUAUUUUUUUGAUACACCAUUCUUGUGUAUUAUUUUUCAUGAUAAAGUUCUUCCUUUGUUCUCUAGUACCCCCACCCCAAACAUAGUUGGCUGCAAAUUCCAAUAGCAACCCCAAACUUAUUAUUAGCAACAUUCUACAAUGCCUAACUCAGAUGUAACAUUUGGGUUAAUUUCUAAAAGUCUCUAGGCUUCACUUGUAAUUUGCCACCGAACAAAAAGGACCUAAACCUACUGGCUCAAUUUGGCUUAAAAAGGAUAAAAUAUAACAAUUAAAAGCAGGGUAGGCUUCAAAAGGCUCAUAGGACAAAGCACUUUUGCCUCAGUCUGUAUAUGACAAAGACCAAUCAACAGUAGAGAAACAAUGCAAGUUCUAGAAAUGUAGUUGCAUGAAACACUUUAUAUAAGUAAAAUUGAAAAAAAUAAAAUUUGGCCAUGAAACUUACAGUGUUAGAUUUAUGGGAGUUGUGACUACCUAUCUCGCACUACCGUACACCUCACCUUUGAAAUAUUAAGUCACUCCUCCUUAUGAACUUUUGGAAUACCAUUUGAACAAAUAUUUGUUACUAGACUGGAAAAGGUCAAUAAACAAGCAAAUUCAUCAAUAAUAAACAAGUUCAAGUUCAAUUACAUCAUAGGGGGAUACAACUGAGUUAAACCAAAAUGAAAAUUAAAGACAAAUUGUUUGACUCAACAAUAGAAAUAAAAUACUGAAAAUAAAGACAUAAUAAAAAGUAUGGGUUGCCUCCCACCAAGUGCUUUCUUUUACGUCAUUGAGCUUGACGCUUCAACCACUGUUAGGGUGGUAAAAAUGAUAGAAAGAAUAUAUCACCCUUCUUCUUCCUCUUGUUUGGCAGGAAUUCCAUGAACUUGCAUUGAAGAAUCAGAUACUCCCAUGCAUUCACUAUUAAUCCUUUGGAGUUUAAGCUCUCCCACCUUAGAGAAGGACAUGCAUCCAUUUGCACACGAGUUAUUCCUUUUACCCCUAUUGGUUGAAAUUUCAGAAAAAGACCAAUAUUUUUUACCUAUGGAUUUUCUUCCACCACAAUAGCAUGACAAUUAGUCUCCAUCUGAACCAACUUCUUCGGAGACUCGUACGCUUUCUCAACAAGAUCACUACAUUGAACAUCAAACUUUUCAAAUGAAACUUGAUUUGACAUCAAGAAAUCAUCUAGAAUAUUUUUUAAGUUGAGUAUUAUAAUCUAUGUUGACCACUUCCUGCUCUUUUUCUUUAACUAUGUAUUGCUCCUCGCAAAAGAGACUACCAUGAUAACCUCCACAAAAAUCGCAACACAUACUCAAUCUUGUUUCCAAAUAUAUAUGUAAAGAUAUCAUGCAUUUUUCAUAUCGUAGGAUUUCAAUCUCUUUAGAAUCUAUCAGUGAUCGACUGUCCCACAUUGCUACAAAACUCAGUGAAACCUUUUAGUAGCACAACACAAAGAAAUAUAUUCGAAGAGCAUAAAUCAUAAUUUUUUCAAUAUAUAAACAAAAAUAUAAAUGACAGAAAUCCUAAAUAAAAACAAAAAUGCCAAGUUGAAAUGAUUUAAAAGUCCCUGGCAACGGCGCCAAAAACUUGAUAGACUUUUAGCAAGUGUACUAAAAUUGCAUCGAAGUAAUAAAAUAAGUUUGUAUCCACGAGGACUCUGUUAAUCUUAAUUCAGCAAUAUGGUUAAUAUUGAGGAUGUGUAAAUUAUUUUGAUGCAUGAGGCAAUAGAUUUAAUGGCAUAAAAUUAAAUAAUAGAAAAUAAAUAUUUGUUUGGAAAAUAUAUGAGAGAUGAGACUAGGUCUUUCAAAUCCUCUGAGUUCCCCUGCUUGGUACACUGCACCUAUUCUUAUGAAUGAUUUUCUAGUUCCACGAUAGUUAACAAAAUAGUCAUAAUCAAUCCCCUGAGUUACGACCCUCUUCUCAAACUACAACCCCUAAUUCCUUAGGUGGUCUAAUAAUCUUUGAAGGUUUAAGCACGUUAACCUAACAUCAUUAACAAAUGAUUAUCCAUUCCUAUACUAACCAUGUUCAUUAGAACAAUUCAUUUAUGUCUAAGUUGAAAGCUAGGGUCAAUAGUCAUUCAUUCUCACUAAAUCAUGUUUAUAUUUGAUCAGGAUUUAAAAAGCAUUAAGAACAAUUGAAUUAAAUAAAAACUAGAUUGUCAUUCACAAUAAAUAGAGUUUCACAUCAACAUGGAUCAAUUAGGGUUACAGAGAAUCAUCUCAGACCUAAUCUCUAAGAGAGUUAGCUACUCAUAAUUGAGUUUACAAAUAGCAUAAUAAAUAAUUGAAUCAAAACAUACAUGAACUGGUAAAAGGUUGAAGAAAUCGUCCUCCUAGCCGCCUUGUAGUCUCAAAAUCGCACUUUGCUCUUCUCAAAUCGUAAGCUUGUUUUAGAAUCUGGCUUCAGCUUAAAUAGGCAAUUUUCCCAUUCUGGUGAUGUCAAAAACGUGGAACGAUUUUUGAACACGUGUCACGAUUUUAGUGGCAGUGGCAAACUCCAACCUUUUGUACUUUCUUGCUAUUUGCACCUCCAGACUGUCUAAAAAUGCUCCUGACUCAAUAAAAACAUCAACACAACUGUUUCUUAAAAACUUCUAUUUUUCUCGCUUUCCUUGCUGUUUAAGCUUGCUUGUGAACUCAAAAAUAUUAUAAAAAGACUCUAAAAAUAUGAAAUGAUGGAUUGUCAUCAAAAACUUCCUGACUUACCUUGAAUCGAUCAAAGUAAUUUGAAUUGUAUCAUUCUUCAUCUUGAGAUUUUUUAAUCGAUUAAAAAACUUGUAUGUCAUGUUUCAAUCUUCAUUAUUUCCAUAUUUGUUUUUUAGCUGUCUGAAUCGAUUCACACAUUAAGUGAAUCGAUUCACAUAGUUGUUUUUGAACAUAAAUUUGCACUUCUCACCCUUUUCUAUAUAUACUCACUUCCUCGUAACACCCAAGUCAUUGAAUCAGUUGCAUCUAUUCACUCUUGAGUCUCUAAACCUCAUUGUUCAUAUAUUCUUCAAGAUUAAACACUUCUUCUUAUAAUUAUUUUGUUCUUUGAGUCAUAAGAUUGCUAAAGUGCUAUAGGGAUUGUAAGUAGGGGUGUUCAGAACCGAACCGAUCCAAAAAAAACCGCCAACCGAUCCAAAAAAAACCAAAAACCGCAAAAAAUUGAUUUUUUUUUUUUUUGUGUUUGGGCCAUAAAAAUUAAAACCGACCGGUUCGAUUUAUAAUUUAAAAACUGGAUCGAACCGAACCGCACUUAUUAUACUGUUACUAGACGAUUCUAUUACUUUGGCCGGUUUUGUCAACUUAAACUCUUCAAAUCACUCUAAGACAAGGAUCUCUACCACUUCUUGAAUCUUCAAGCUUCUUCUUCUCUAACCCUUUUUCCUCUUCUCUUGCACUUUCUCUCUCUACCUCUCUCUAAGAAUCUUGGGAAAUGAAAAAUGAAUGGUAUUUUCUCUUAAGACAAGGUUUAUAUAGGUUCCCUCUCUAAUGGGCUUAACCUAAUGCCUUAGUGGACUUAACCCACUUCAACUCAAUUCUAAAAUGUUUCUACACACUCAACAGUAAAUUACCAAUAACAAUCACUUAACGGUAAAAUACUAAUAACGGUCACUUAACGGUAAAAUACUAAUUACUACACUAGUAACUUAGUAAAAUAAUGGUUCUCACACUAAAACACUAAAAAUAAUCCUCACCAAAAAUUACUACAUUACCCCUACUCUCAAAAAAUUAAAUAAAAAACUAAUUUUUUUUUGCUCUUUUAAAAAAAUUGUGUUUUUAUUUUGACUUGGGGCCUAUUUUUAUUUGAGAGCCGAGCCUCUAUUUUUGUAGGAACGGCCCUGAUGACCAUGAUUAAAAUUUAAAAAGAUCUAAACAUGUAUAAGAACAUCAAAAGUACAAAGAAAAGCUAAAAGACUAUGGUAGAAGAACUGAAUAAAGGUGAACCGGAAGUUAACGCCUUGGAUUAAAAAAAAAGGAUGCCAAUCAGAAGCCGAAGAUCUACAUCAAACUCUAAAGUAAAGAAGAUAUUGAGGGACCCAAAAGCCACAUUAGAUGUGUCCUCUUCUGGAGUUAUCUCUAUUAAUAGUACAUUUUCUCCUCUUCUGAUCACGUACAGAAACAAACAUAGAACUUCAAGGACAAAAAAAAUGAACUAAUAAUUCCAAUUUGAGCAAAGGAAUUUUGAACGUAUAAUCAACACCAUUAUCCAUAUCAGGAAAUGGCCCAACAUCUUUGAUUUGAAGCUUCUCAAUGACUCUUAAUGCACUGACACUCUUCUCCAGCGUCUCUCAAAUCCUUGCCUAUAUAAGGACUUUAACACUUGAAGAACAAUAACAAGACUCUGUUAUUUUAACUACGCCUUUACUCUGUCAAAUCAAAAAGCGCAUAGAACAGUUAAGAAUUUCUUAUAAAAGUUUGUAUCUUAGAAAUUCUAAGUUUAAGAGUUUAUUCAAUUUUUUUUUAUUGUUUACACCUCUGAUUGUAUAUCAAGUGUAAUAACAAAUUUGUUUCCUUGUAAACAUUUAGAAGUCUCUUUCAGUUGUGAUUGAGCAUUGAAAGUCUCUUGCAAGUGUGUUUGAAUAUUUGGAAGUCUCUUGGUUGCGUCGUUUAGUAAUUGUAAUCUUGUGUGCUUAUAGUGAAAUCUCUUUAAAGUGCAAGGGGAUCAAACUACUCUUGAAUUGUAGGAGGAAUGAUUAUAAUUACUUUGUGUCUGCUCUUUAAUUUCUCUCUUUGACGGUGCAUAAACACUUAGAAAAACAACUAUUUUGAUAUUUUAAUCAUUAAGGUAAUUAUUAAGAAACUAUUAGAAUAAGAACACGAAAAAUAAAAAUAAAAUUUUAUAAAAGGAAAACACGAUUAAAGAGCCGAAGAGAGAAGUAUAUUAUUCUCCUUGGAUGUCAAGUUAUGUUACAUGUGAUCUCUAUUUAUAGAGAAAUACAAUGAUAUGACUUAAGAGUUAAGUACUUAGAGUACGUUUGGAUUAACAUAUUUUAGAGUUUACGUAAAUAAAUAAGCAUUAAAGUAUUAUUUUUUUAAAAAGAUAAAUUAGUCCACCUAAAUUGACACCGGAAAAAAUUGAACAUGAGAUCUUGACGAUGAGCACACUAUCAGAUCUCAGGCAAACCCAAGUGGGUAUAAGUUUGUUAAGGUAGUUUAUGAAAAAACAACCUAUGAAUAUACAAUUUUUGUUAGUAAAAUCUUAUGAAUUAGCAAAAAACUUAAUUAUUUACAUAGGCUCAAACCAAACAACCCCUUGCGAAAUAAGUACAUGUGAUCUAGAAGAUAAAUAAUAUAAUGUCAGUUAAGAGAUUUUUUCUUUGAAACAAAAGAUAAGUUGUUUUCGUGGUAUCCGAGGUUCAGACCUUGCAUAUAUUAUCUAGGGAUAAUAAUGCUUCACCCCACUAUAAUAUAGGUCAUUUCCGAUUUUCCCCUGUAAAAUAUUUUUUUUGAUUUAGCAGCUAUAAUUUUUUUGUUUGUUUUGGAAUACCCCUAAUAGGUCAUUCAAAAACCAACUUUUUUUUUUUGCAGUUAUUUUCGUUUUUGAAUGACCUAUUAGGGGUAUUUCAAAACAUAUUUUUUUUACACAAGAAUAAAUACAAAAAAAAAAAGACCUAUAUUACAGAGGUAAAACCAGAAAUGACCUAUAUUACGGGGUAAAACCUGAUUAACCCUAUUAUGUAUUGUGUAUAUCAACGUUUGAGGAGGAAUAAAAUGAAUAUUGCAAAUUUUAUUAUUAAUGUUUGACUCAUUACUCUCGUUGUAACGCUUAGCCCGUGCGGAACACAUAGCAAAGUGGGAAGUUAAGGAAGUGAUUGUUAUUAGGUUGUCUCAAGUCCCAACAUCCUCUUACUAUUCCACCCGCCUCCACCGCUCCCACGCCACGCCACGCCACGCCACGCCGCGCCGGUAAAUCUCUCUCUCUCUCUCUCUCUCAAUUCAACCAUGCCUAGAUCUUCUUAUUCUUCAUACUGUACUGUUUCUCUUCAACUACCCUAACAAUGGAUUAUUCAAUUUUUUGCAUUUUUUUUGUUUGUUCUUUAUAACUCAGUUUAUGAAAGACUGUGUUCGGCUCCUUUUUAGUCAUGCCCAUGUUUUUUUUUUUUUUUUGUAACUGAAACACAUAUUUAAGGAUACCCUUUUAAAAAGUUUUGUUUUUUUGUAUUGUUAAAGCCCUUUUGAUGUAGUUGCUUUUGGUGGGUUAAUUGUUUUUGUUUGUUAUUGUUUGAUUAAUAAACUCUGAGGAUGUUGGGUUUGAUAUGGUUAAUGAAUAUGUUAUUUUUAAUAAUGAUAGUGAGAUUAAAGUGAUUACAAUGAUUAGGUUUUAGAUGUUUCAUUAGUAGGAGAGAGAAAGAUCAUCUGGGUUGACCUAUAUGAAACACUGAUACGGACAUUAGACAUGACACCUUGACAUCGGUUAUAAUUAGAGAAAAUGUAAGUAUAUAAAUAUUAGAUAUAAUCACUUGUGUUAGUAUCGUGCCAGUGUCGGACACGGGGCACCCUUCAAUCUGAUGUGUCAGUGCUACGUAGGGUUGAUCCUACUGUAAUUACUGUGACUUAUGAGUAAUGAUGAAUUAAGGAGGUUUAUAUUAGUUAUGAUGAUAAAUUCCUAGUUAAACUUUUGUGUGUUCGUGUCAGUAUUGUAUGCAUUCUUUCCAUCUGUUUUUCUGGCUUUAUCAAUCUUUGCAACACUAUAUUUUUUCUAAGAUUGGUGCUUUCUUAUAUAGAUUCUUUUCUGUGCUGGUUACUAUUAUACUUUUAAUAUUUUUCUGUUUUAUUGUAGCUGGUUGAUUAUUGCGAAGAAAAAAUUGAGUCUGUUAUGUUCUGAAUUUCAUCACUAUAUACAAAAAACCUUCAACUGAAAUGGCAACUGACGAGCAUAACGUCGCAAAGGCUGAAGAAUUUAAAGUCCUUGCUAAUGAAGCAUUCAAAGGUAAUUAAUAAUCAAACAUUCAGACUGUUUUUUUAAUGAUACGAUGAUUCAUUUACUUGUUGUAACAUCACAAUUGUUUUUGUCGCAACUUAUAUUUUAGCUGAAUCAAUUUGAUGAGCAACACUUUCAUACUUAAUUGUUGGUUAUCACAUAAUUAGAGUAAAUAUCAUGUGAUUUAUUCUGAAAUUUGCGUCUUAUGUUUCCCCCUACGCAUUAUUGAUCAUGGUGAUGCUACAUAUAAGAAAGAGAGACUGAAUGGUUUUUGCAAUUACCUAAUGCUUUAACACUUUGAUUUACCAGCAUUUGCUGAUCCUGUGAACUCCUUUUUUCAGAACGGAAAUUUGCCCAUGCAAUUGAUCUAUAUACACAAGCAAUUGAGCUAAAUGGCCAAAAUGCAGUUUACCUUGCUAAUCGUGCCUUUGCCCAUCUUAGGCUCGAGGAAUAUGGUAGUGCAAUACUAGAUGCUACAAAGGCUAUCGAAGUAGAUCCGAAAUAUUCAAAGGUUCUCCAACUCCUAAAACUUUAGACACUUUCCUCUGUAUUUAGUUAUCUUUAUUAAUAAUAAUAUUUGUGUCAACCAAUUAUGCUUUGUUGUUUAUAGGGUUACUACAGGCGAGGUGCUGCUCAUCUUGGGCUGGGAAAAUUCAAGGAAGCAUUGAAAGAUUUUCAGCAGGUACUAUAUGUAAAUUAUAUAUGUCUGUUGUCUAAUAAGGUUGGAGUAACGAACAUGGCUUAAAAAUAACAUGUUUGUAUUAGUAUUGCAUUAUUGGAGAACAUUAAUAGAUCAAUAUUCAUUUACCUUUUAUUAGGCAUAUAGAUAAUAGCGAUAACAAACAGAAUAUCGGAGAAUGUGUAAAAUCAGUUUCUCUAAAGUUAAUCAUUUAGAAUAUUUUAUAAAACAUGAUUAAUUUUAGUAAUUUUGGAGAAACUAACAAUAAAUAGGUACCAUCAUUGAAUAUAUGCUCAAUAGUUUUUUCUGGUCUGAUAUCAGUCAGUCCAACAAAGGGGUUACAGCUGCCAUCAACGAAUGAAAAGAAAGAACAGAGAAAAUAUAGGUUUCAUACUAUAUUAUAAUAAAAUAAUAUCUGCUAGUAUAGAGCUCUUUGAGGAUUUGCUAUCUCAUCAGUCCAACAAAGGGGUUACAGCUACCAUCAACAAAUGAAAAGAAAGAACAGAGAAAAUAUAGGUUCCUCGCUAUAUUAUAAAUAAAAUAAUAUAGGUUACAUUCUAUCAUCAGGGGAUUCCUUCCUUCAGAUAUUAUAAUAAAAUAUAGGUUCCAAUCUGCUAGUAUUAGAGCUCUGAUCUUGUAGUGUGGGUAUUGUAUCUUGAAAAUGAUUAUAACGUUUAUUGGAAAGGAGGCGUAUUGGUGGCUUAUCAAUGAAAUUAAUAUUUCGAGGCCAUCAGAGAACUUGAGGAGAAGCAAUGAUAGGUUGCGAUGGCGCUGAGAGGGGGAGGUCUCAAAUGGUGGUUUUGUUGUGAAGAGAUCAAGCUAAAGUGCAUCAUGAUGGACAUUUGAGAAAGGCAUUGCUCAAACGGUUUUGACUGAAAUUUGAGGAAAUUUCUGUUAGGUUUAAAAACUGUCGUUAGGUUAGAGGAAAUUAUCAUCUGGAGCCCUUACGGUAAAUAGAAGCUACCACGUGAACCCUUUUUUUAACUCUAGAAAUGAAAGUUUAAAAAAAGAGGCAAAAUUGCACCACAGGUCCUUUAUCUUCAUUUUUUUCUUUCUAACAAUGUAGUCCUUUUUAAAUUGUGUCAAGUUAGUAUUUUAUGUUUAAAAACAUCAACGAUGUUGGAUCGAACCUCAUUUUUCAUCCAUGUAUGUUAUCAAAAGUCUUACUUAACCAUUCAAAGAGUUAAAUGACAUCAUCUAUCCUUAAAAAUAACAUCUAAAUUACAACAAAAUAUCAGUUGCAAUUCCUAGUCAUAAAAUGCAACUUGUUUAGAUUGUUGUCAACUCGUAGUAAAUCAUUUAAUGAUUGGUACUACUUGUUUAAAUUGAUGGAAUCUGAUAAUUUUUCAUGUUCAACAACCUUAUUUAAAUGUUCUCACAUGAAAGUCAUCUGCUCAUUGAAGCAGGCAGUUCUUUUACUUUGAAAGCAGGCAGUUCUUUUACUUUGACGUUCUCACAUGAAAGUCAUCUGCUCAUUGAAGCAGGCAGUUCUUUUACUUUGACGUUUAAAGUUGUCGCACAUUUUUGAUAUUUCUGUUUUAUUGGUACCUUAUUUGGAAAAUCUUUUAAGCCAAACUUUAAUUUAGGUUUUUACUUCAAAGUCAUCUGCUCGCUGAAGCAGCUAGUUAUUUGACUUUGACCUUUAAAGUUGUCACACAAUCUUGAUAUUUCUGAUUUAUUGGUACCUUAUUUGGAAUAUCAUUUAAGCCGCUCUAAUUUAGGUUUUUACUUCAAAUUAACUUUGACUACCUUGUUUUAUUUUUUUCUUUAGUAAUAUCUACUUGUUUCAAUCUGUAAACAUGUCUGAUAUGAUAUGCUUACACUUAUAUUGACCAGGUCAAGAAAAUGUGUCCAAAUGAUCCUGAUGCAACAAAGAAAUUGAAGGAAUGUGAAAAAGCUGUUAUGAAACUGAAAUUUGAAGAAGCUAUUUCUGUACCAGGAUCGGUGAAGCGUCCAAUAGCUGAAUCCAUAGAUUUCCGUUCAAUAGGUACUAUUUUGAAUAUGUUAUGCUAAUAUCUUCGUUUUAUCAUUUCUUCCUUUCUAAAUCUCCCUCGCAGUUUUUUGUUGUGUUUUAUUAUCUCAUGAUUCAGCCAUGCCAUGUUAUAACUUUUUGUAUGUUUUGGAUUCGUGCUUCAAUAUUGUAUACUUCAAACAACAUGCCAUAUUGGAGUAACUGUAGAUUUUUAACUGUUUGAAUUUUGAAAGUUUGGUACUAGGUUUAAAGUUAUGCAUAUCUUUUGACCUUGAGUUGAUGUUAUUUCAUAUAUUGAUGCAUGUUUUCAAGGAUCCUGAUAUCAUUGAUGUGAAAAAUGAAGUAAUGUUUAUUGUCAUUUUUCAAUAAUAAUUGUACUGCUGAUGUGAUUAAAUGAUUAUUUGACAUGUCAACUUCGUAAUAAAAUGUCAAACUUCAUCAUUGAUGUGACUUUUGGUUUUUGAUUAGAUUAUUUGACAUGUCUCCUCAUAUAAUUGUACUGCUGAUGCGAUUUCCUUCUUUGAUCACUAUUCAUUUUCACGGGAAAGAUUUGAUGGAGUAAUGUUAAUUAAUGUUUAGUUUCAAUUUAUAGUUUUAUUCGUUUGCAUGCCUUUUGGUGAAAUUUGAAUAGGCUAUGGAUAUAUAUUCUUUGAUUAAGUUGUAGUGAUGAUAGUGGUCUGAAUAAGAAUGAGAACAGGUUAAUGACCAUUUUACUAUGAACUUUGGAAUUUGUAACUUCUUAAGUUCUUGGCUGCGUAUGUAAAUCCUUGAAAUCACGUGUUUUCAAUCUUAGUCAGAAAGAUAUGAAAUGUGAGGUUGAUGGAGAAGGAAAGAAGGGCAAAGUGGAGGAAUAUGCUCUUAGCGUGAAAAUAAAUGAAUACCAAAACAUCAAGUUAUUGCAACCAUUCUAUGCUUAAACUUUAUUCUACAACCAAAGUAACCAUGACAUAGAAAACUUCUGUCAUCACGAACCUAUAAGUAAAUUAUUGAUUGAAUUAACUUGAUACUUGGUUGACCAAUAUGUGAACUAAAAUGGAAAACACUAACAAAUGAAUGAUUUUGUGUCUCCUUCAAAUGCGGACUUCAGCCUUGUGUUUCUUUCUCUUACCUUCCUUUUAAUUGGUUGCUUACAUUUUUGAAGGCAGAAAAUUUAAAAAAUAAAAUAAUUAUAAGGAUAUUUACCAGUAGUUUUGAGUCUUGUGUUUGAAGAACAUGCCUUACAAGUAUAAAAUCUGAAAAUCUGUAAAAAUGAUCACUUUACCCAUCUUUUUAUCACCGAUUUGUUGAUACAUAGGUUUUAUUUUUCCUCCAAGUCAAUAGUAGUCCCCUCAUGUUCCAUAACAUACCCUAAUCAUCCGUUAUUUUCCUCACAAACCUUUCCACAAGUACUAGAGUGUGUAGAGACAUUUUUAUGCUUGUUGGUUUUUAGAUGUUUGCAUACUUCACUAUAAAUUAUCACUCUUGUAUCAUUAUAGGAAAGCGCCGCAAUUCUUCGGUGCCAACCGAAGUUGCCAUAGCAGCAGUGACAGUAGCAGUUAUGGCAGUGGUGGUCAUGUUGGUCAGGACAUCAAAGACCACAAUAGUAGCUACAAUUGUGGUUGGUUUGCUGUUGGUCCUUGGGGCAUGGUGGAGUAGCUGCAAUACUGGUACAUUUAGGAGUCAUUUACAAGACCUAGGUAUAACCUUAUCAAACAAGACCUAAAACCAAUUAAUCAUAGGAUGGUUGAUCCUAAUUCGUUUGAGAUUUUUGAAACAAGUCAAGUGGAAUCAUUAUCAGUACUGCAUUAGGAAAUAAACCGUUUUCUAAUGCAACGCAUUUCCUUAUUUUGUUUUUUUUUUAGAUCAAGUUAAUCCCACUGCUCUGCCUAAGAAAUGAAAGGCCAUGUCACGUGUCUUAGAUAUUAGUUCAUUAGAAUGUGUUUAUUACCCUUGUUAGGCCUUCUGAAACUAAAUAGGAUGAUGCCUUUAGACAUUCUGUUGUGUUUCAAAUUUUAGCCUGUUUUCUAAAUUCUAAUAAUAAGGAUAAUGGAUGCUAUGUACUUUUCAGUUUACUUGUAGGAAUAUAUUUUAUCCAAAACUGAAAGAGGAAUUUAGAAAUAAAGAAAAUAUAUAUGUUGUGUGUAUUUCUUAUUAUUUUCAGAUGCUUGCAACUUUGUUUGAAUUUUUUUCUCGUGAUUUUUAAUUACUACCUGGAUUGGCAUCUAAAAAUAUGGCUGCCUAUUUGGAAGAUUGUUGCAUUUGUAAUUUUUAUAGAUGUAUUCGGAUUUAACAGGGAUUCAAAUUGUAAUUUAUCUGUUCUUUAACCCUUCUUUAGUAUUAAUGAUUUUGGGACCAAUAAACAUACCUGUUAAUUUUAUAUUGUCAAUGGUCCUUAAUAGUCUGAACCAUUUUUUGUCUAUUUUGUGUUCCCUUGUAGCAUUUGAUUUCACUCAUGGACAUGAAAAUAUUUUGGUUUUUUAUUUUGAUAAUAGAUGUCGAGCCACAGUAUUCAGGAGCAAGAAUAGAAGGGGAUACUAUUACUUUGGAUUUUGUAAAGAAAAUGAUGGAUGAUUUCAAGAAACAGAAGUGCUUGCAUAAACGGUACUGAACGAAGAAUUUUCUGUAUAACUGUUUGUACUUUCUUGAAGUGUUAUUGAAGUGUAUUUGCAUUUGUCCUGGUUCAUUGUUUUAGGUAUGCAUUCCAGAUUGUGUUGCAAACAAAAGAGAUGUUGCAAGCUUUACCUUCUCUUGUCGACAUAACUGUUCCUCAUGGAAAACAUUUUACUGUUUGUGGUGAUGUGCAUGGUCAGGUAAUUGGUUUAUUAUAUGGUAAAACAAAUUUUUGCUAAUAUCUUCAAGGUGGCUUUUUGUUACAUAAAUAUUUAGAGGAUAGAGUUGUUCUCAUGUCAUCUUUGAUUUUUCAAAACAUUCUUCAUAAAGUGAAUUUCUUUGACCAUUAUGUGGAGGGACUGGGGAGCUAUUUUUUGUUGAUGAGCUUGUUAGUUAAUAUUUUGUGUGCCUCAUUUGUACGAAGGAUUUAACUUUCGUGUUGAACUUAUAUUUUAAAUCCAUUUAUUAUUAUUAUUAUUAUUAUUAUUUCAAUCUUAUGAUAAAAAUGUAGUUUUAUUAGAAGUUUAAAAGAAAACAAGCACAGAAACAUGGGAAUGAAAUCCUACUUGUGGAGAACGGGUGAAAAUAAAGAAAAGCAAAAAAGAAACCGUCCUUUUAAUGUUUGACAAAGAAAUCUAUUAAAAAAACUGUAUCCCAUACAAAAGAUUGCUGCGAGAAUUUGUCCUAUGAAAUCAUGCAUCCAUGUUGCUCGGCUUUUGUGAUAUAUUUAUUUUCUUUAAUUAUCAACCCUUUCAAUUUUAUUUUUUAUGCUUCCUGCAGUUCUAUGAUCUUCUGAAUAUUUUUGAGCUCAACGGGCUGCCUUCGGAAGAAAAUCCAUAUCUAUUUAAUGGUGACUUUGUGGAUAGAGGAUCGUUUUCUUUGGAAGUCAUCCUCACUUUGUUUGCAUUUAAGUGCAUGUCUCCAUCAGGUAAACCCUAGCUCUUUCUUUAUUAGCCUGUUAGGUUUCAUUAUACUAUUUUUGAUGCAUCAUGGAUUCUUUAGUUAUUAUUAUUUCAUAAUCACCUGAUUAGAUGCUUUAUGUAUUACUUCAUUUUUUUUUCAAUUGAAUUGUAUAACCAAUAAUGUUUAUUGUGUGAUUUGAUUUUUCGCAACUAUUUUAUAUACUUUUUUCAAUUCACUCAGUUAGCUGGGAUGCUGUAACUUGUUUUGUUUCUAUAUUAUUUUCAGCUAUAUAUCUAGCUAGAGGAAAUCAUGAGAGCAAGAGCAUGAACAAGAUUUAUGGUUUUGAGGGCGAGGUGCGCUCAAAGUUGAAUGAAACAUUUGUAGAACUAUUUGCAGAAGUAUUCUGCUGUUUACCUUUGGCUCAUGUGAUAAACGAGAAAGUUUUCGUAGUCCAUGGGGGUCUUUUCAGUGUUGACGGGGUCAAACUCUCUGAAAUCCGAUCAAUUAAUCGGUUUUGUGAGCCUCCCGAGGAAGGUAUGGAUGCACCAUUUUUUUUUACUUCAAUUGAUCUCACAGUUAAAACAUUCUUGAAUUUCAUCAUAGUUGAUAGGAUCUAAUAUGUACACAUAGGCCCACUUAGAGGGAGAGUUAGUUACAUCAGAGAGAGAAAGUGGAGUUGGUUAUAUAAAGGAAUGAGAAUAGAGUGAGGGUUAUCUUUUGAUCAUUUGUUCAGUUAGAACCUUAGGGUUUGGGCAGAGAGAGAAAUGUCUCUUCUCUGAGGAGCUUUUGCUCUGGGUUACAGGGGUUAUCUUCUGUAAUACAUCAAUUUUCAACUCAAGAAUGCAGUUUAUUUCUCUGUGUGAAAUUGGGUCUCUAUCAAUUGGUCUGACCUGCCGGAUCAACUCUCACCACCACCGGCGAUUUGUAGAUGCAUUAGAGACUCAGAUGGAAACUGUGACAACCACACUGCUGCAAAGUCUUUGCUUCUCAGAUGCAACAACUCGCUCAACAGAUGCUUCAACAGAGCGUGAUUCUGACGGAAUUGAGCAAAAAGCUUGAUUCCAAGGGGGUGACUCAGGAGGGUGAAACCUCUAGUAGUGAUUCAGUUCAGAGUGAAAUUGAAGAAACAGAGAAGAAGACGUCAGGAGGGUGAAACCUCUAGUAGUGAUUCAGUUUAGAGUGAAAUUGAAGAAACAGAGAAGAAGACGGAAUUGAACUUGAAUCUAAGCUCAGCAACAAAGGUGAAGGAGGAAGUGUCGUUGACUGAGGCACUUGUUUCACGAAGGUUGAUCAAUUUGCAAUCAUCGCCGGAUAUCAUUCACGCAGAAUCGAUCACGGAGGAGAGACAAAGAAAACAAGAGAUUACAAUCGACAAAUCAUCGCCGCCGUCGCUGGAUGCAAGGCCACAGCUGUUGCCGAAACCGCCAGACGCAGCUUCAUCAACUAAUGAGGUGUCAUAUCCGCCUUCGCCGGAACCACCUCCGGACUCCGGUCAGCCCGUGACAACAGUCCCACGGCGUGCCCCACCGCCGAGACCACCAGAUCUACAGGAUUCCGUUGACGGAGUAGUCUAUGCGAUAUUGAGCUUCAAGAAGAGAGGGAAUGUACAAAAGAGACUGGGUGGACCGCCAUUAAUGUCGCCGGAACCACCGUUCACCGGUUGCAAUUCUGUUCACGAGUUUGUAAUCGUUGCUGAAGGUGAGAAGGUUCUAGAGAAGGCAGGGGCAAAAAGGGAAAUUGGUGAGUUGUGUAUCACUUUAAACCUAAUGGGCCACAUGCACAAAUCUCUGCCUCCAAUUUUUCACUUGUUACACGUGUCUUCAUCAGGUCAACAUUCAACCCCUCUUCUCUCUCAUGGGUCACUUAAUGCACAUUUCUUAUUUGUUAUGUGUCAUGCUGACACAAUGCAAUGUGAGUUGGGUCAAUUUUAUUACCAAAAGGGUCGGGCUCAAACUAAUAUUGGGUUACUAAAAAAUGAGUUUAGAUGGAUGGUUAUUAGUUAAUGUUUCAGCUGCUCAAAUUUGGAGUACAACAAAAACUAUGGCCACAGGUAAUGACAUGUAUCAACUCCCUGGGGUACACUGUCUAGUGUUUGAUCAUGCAAUUAGUGAAACCCCACACCACCGAAGGUCAACAUGGCAAGAGGUGAACACAAGUGAUUUUUCAAACCUUAUGAUCUUGUUCCCAAAACAAAAACAAAUUGAUGUUGAUAGGUCCAAAGCUGCAAAAUUGUUGUUUAAGCACAAACUGGCUGAUUCACUAGUUUACUCAUUGAUACUAGAGAAUUUUACUUGUCUUAGAAAUACCUUGGUGCCAAAUGAGUACAGUGAUAAUGUUGACCACUGGAGUAUAUGCAACUGUAAUUAAUGUUACUCACUUCUCAACUUUUGUUUUUGCUAAUGCGGCUAAUUCUUCUCUAGCAAAAAUAUUCUGGAGGUUAUAGCAUAGGUAAGAGUAGCAAGCUUACACAGUGGGUUAAAAGUCUGCUUGAUGGACCAAAUAAGUUUUUAUGUCCUUACUUGGUAAUAAGAUUAGCUAUGCUUACUUUAAUUCUUGUCAUGAAACACAAAGGGAAAGAUGGGAACCCCUUGACGAGUGAGAUUACACAACAAUGGAUACUUAUGAACAUUUUUAAAUACUUAAGGAUAAUGUUUGAUGCUGUUUUGGUUUUAAGUUUGGAAGUUCUCCCUAGUUUUUUAUCACCAUGUGAUGAUUCAUUGGUGCUGCCAAUUGGGGAAAAGAUGCAUGUGUACAUGGUGGGAUUUUAUGAUGAUGAGAGUGCUUUUAGGGAAACUACAUUGAUUGAGAAAGAUAGAAAAUAUGAGCAUGUUUCUCGGACACGAGCUUGUAUUCAGAUUGGAGCAAAAUUACAUGACCUUGUGUGGAAUGCAUUGUUGUGUGGGUAUGAAAUUAAAGUACACUCUGUACCUUCUUUCAACAUGAUAUUCUGGUGUUCAUCCUUUUUUAUGAGCCAACAAGACUCAAGAGAAUUCAGUAUUUCUAUGGUGGUUGAUGUUAAUGAAAUUUGUUGGAUAAUGUUCUUUACUUUGAAUGGAUUGCUCAACUUUGUAUUUGACAGAGGCAAGUUUUGGUGCAAAGGAAAGAUGUUGCAGCAAGGGAUGCAUAUUUCAGCCUUGAAGCUCUUAAAUAUUUCAGUGAUCACAUGCUCUUCCAUUCCACAUUAUCUCAGCGAUUAUUUGCUCUUCAUGCAUGAACUAGACUUUUCAUGGACUCCAUUGAGUUCAACAGUAGAAAGCAAGCAAUUGGGAAUUAUUUUUUCUCUGCCUUGAGGACAAGGCAGAUUUUAAGGGGGUGGUAUUGAUAGGAUCUAAUAUGUACACAUAGGCUCACUUAGAGGGAGAGUUAGUUACAUCAAAGAGAGAAAGUGGAGUUGGUUAUAUAAAGGAAUGAGAAUAGAGAGUGAGGUUUAUCUUUGAUCAUUUUUUUUUUUUAUAACCUUAGGGUUUGGGCAGAGAGAAAUGUCUCUUCUCUGAGGAGCUUUUGCUCUGGGUUACAGGGGUUAUCUUCUGUAAUACAUCAAUUUUCAACUCAAUAAUGCAGUUUAUUUCUUUGUGUGAAAUUGGGUCUCUAUCAAUAGUUUUGUUUAUGUAUAUAUGUUUGGUAUGUGUAGGUUUGAUGUGUGAGUUGCUAUGGAGUGAUCCACAACCUCUCCCUGGAAGAGGACCGAGCAAGCGUGGUGUAGGCCUUUCUUUUGGUGGGGAUGUUACCAAAAGGUUUUUGAAGGAUAAUAAUUUAGGUAUGUUUUCCAUUGGUCCGACACUUAAUUUCUUAUUUCAUCAGUGACUUCAUAUGAAUUAUCACUUUACAGAUUUAGUUGUGCGAUCUCAUGAAGUAAAGGACGAGGGUUAUGAGGUUGAUCAUGACGGUAAACUCAUAACUGUAUUUUCUGCUCCAAAUUACUGUGAUCAGGUAACCAUAUCCCUUCUGUUACAACCUUCUUUCUUGAAUAAUUUUAUGGUGACCGUGCCACACACUUCUUAUAUUAAUGUAUUUAAGCAAUCACUUAUCCUCCUAUGAAGGUAUCUAUAUGCUGAUUUUUCAUUGUUUUCUGUAGAUGGGUAACAAAGGUGCCUUUAUUCGAUUUGAAGCGCCUGAUUUGAAACCCAACAUUACUACAUUUGCAGCAGUGGUUAGUAUCUUUCUUGUUUUGAAGUAUGUCACGCUAUAUAAUGUAUUGUCGUUUUAAUAAAAAAUGAAAAGGGAAAAGAAUCAUGUUGUCAAAUAUCGGCCAUGGAAACACCAUGGCUAAUUGCAGUGGCAGAUAUUUCACAUCUGUCACAUGGCCAAUUUGUGAAUGAUGGUGGCACCAUGGUGUUCUAUGGCAGCUUAAAAUGUUGAAUUUUGGGCUUUUCGCCCUCGUUUGUCAUCUGUAAUCGAUAACACACUCUUCAUUUUAUGCAACAAUCAAUUCGUUGCAAUGUGAUUAUAGUAUACAUAUCUUUAUUCAAUUUGUGAGGUUACGUGGUGCUGACAUACUUUCUUAUUGGUUUGGUCCUCUUUGUUGAAUUUGCAGCCACACCCUGAUGUUAAGCCAAUGGCUUACGCAAACAACUUCCUCAGAAUGUUCUCAUAAUCAAUAUAUAAGCUGACUAGAAAUCUAGAACUGCCAAUGGUUGGUGCUGCUUUGAAAUGUCUAAGUUUUAUGCCCUAAGGGCAACAUUUUGGUUGGUGACUAGAGAAGAUUUGGUACAUGUUGAUCACUUUUGUUUUGUAUAAUAUUUUCGAUUUAACAUUUUAUUGAAAUUCAUUUUUCCCUCUCCAAAUGAUGCCACUUUCUUUUGUACUUUUUGUUUCUUUUGGUAAACAAAGUGUAAGGAAACUUGUAUCUCCAUUGGCUUCAUGAGACAAGAAGUGAUUAUGGUUUAGUUUUAAACUGGUUACAUGAAUGACAUAGGUUGAUUGAACCUUUUACUUAUCUUUGUUUCACGAAGUAUUGUUGAUUUGAUUUGAUUUUUUGGAUAGAUUUAUUUGAAUUCUAUACGUGGAAGAACAUGAACUGUCUCAUCAAGGGAUUUGAAUUAAUUAAUUUCAUUAUUAUUUUAUAAUAAAAUAAAAAGCCUAAUUUGAUAGGAAACAAUUUUCAUUUUUAAGUUAAGGGUAUAUUGUAACAAAAAAAAAAAAGUUAAGGGUAUCAUCAAUACUAUUGUUCUGGAUUUAACCAAAACUUUUUCUGCUCAAAUCCUCAAUAAAAAAUAGGGUUAAAUAUGUUUUUAGUCCCUAUAAAUAUACUAAUUUUUUAUUUUAGUCCCUCUAAAAUUUUCCUUCAACUUUUAGUCCUUUAAAAUUUUUUCAUCUUCACUUUUGGUCCCUCUUUUAAAGUAAACUCAUAUAUAGAAUUAAUAUUUUUUAAUGAAAUCUUCCAGAAAAAUUCAUAAUAUUAUAAGAAUCUCUUCAAAAAAAAUUUAGAAUAUUUUAACAAAACAUAAAUUUGAUAUGAAUUUUUAUAUUUUUGAAGGUUAAAAAUUCAUAUUUAAUUUGUGUUUUGCUAAAAAAUUCUAGUUUUUUUUGGGAAUUUUUUUUAUAAUAUUCUUAACAUUUCUGCAUAAUUUCAUUUAAAAAUACAAAAAUGAUAAAUUAUAGAUCAAAACCUACACUAAUUUUUACCAUUUAUCCCCUUUCUUACAUUUUUUUUUGACAUCUUUGUCCUUCUCAUUUUCAUCGCACAAUUGAACACACCUUUAACAAUUUCUACCUAAUUAAUCAAACUUAAGCCUUAUUAAGAUCCACCUAAACAACAUUUUGUCAAUAAAAGAGAUCUAUCUAAACAACUAUAAAUAUAAUAUAUAUGUUUUUUGUCUUAAAUUUUAACACAUUCAAUUUUGUUAAAUGAAAUUAAUUCGCAACUAAUUGAAUCAUGCAAGUUCCAUUUUUUUUAUCAAUACAAAUGUGUUGAGAAAUGAACAUAACAGACCACGCUAGUGUAUCAUUUUCUAAAAUAUUGUUUGACUUGAAUUUUUUCCAACCUAAACAUGACAACAAAGAAAACACGAAUGUUGUGUUUCUUUUCCAAUAUAUUACGACAUCUGAUUCUAUAUAUAAGAAAAAAAUUAGAUCAAGAAAAAUUAAUAUAUUUGAUCCAAAUUGACCUAAUUUUAUCUUAUAUAUAAAAUUAGAGGGAGUACUUUUCAUUCAAUAAAUUAUGUCCUUUAGAAGUACACUUGCAGAAACAUCUGUGAUUCGUUAUGCCUCAAAGUUGGAUUUAAGAGUUACUUUCCAACAAAUAAAACAAAAAUAUUGUUUCUCACUAGGAUGGAUAAAUUCAUUAAAACGGUUUUUCCUUGUCGAUGAGUAUAUCUGGAAACGGUUUUUAAGAAUCACAUGGGGAAGGGAAGCUCUCAGUUAGUGAAGUAAAUCACGAUAAUUGUUAUUUCUCGUAAUGGGAUGGAUAAAUUAAUUAAGUGUCUGUUUGGUUUCCCGUUUGUAACAGGCAAACACACGUCUGUCUGCUUUCUGAUACAUUUUUGCCAUGAUUUCCAUAAACUCCAAAUACUAACUUCUUCGCUAACGUGGUUUUUUGCCAUGAUUUCCAUCAUACUCCAUUUUACAAAGGAUGUACCAAACAUUCAUUAAAACAUAAUUUUUUUGUCAAUGAGUAUAUCUGUGAACGGUUUUUAAGAACCACAUGGUGGGAAAUAAAGCUCUUAGUUAGUGAAGUAAAUCACAAUAAUUGCUUAAUAUGUCCCUCAAAUUGCUCAAUUUCUAUAAUAAGCCGAUCAUGAAUUACUUUCCAAUCCGAAAAACGAACAAGUCGUAACUCUGAUAGAUUUUUCGCGAUCAAGAGUUACUCUAUAAUAAAUCCGAAGAACUUUUAAGCAACAAUCAUAGUAAAUCACGGGCUUACAUUGUUGUUGGGCUAUGAUACCAAGCCCAAACAAAUCUCACAUCUCAGAAAACCCAAAGCCUCUCUCUCAGUAGAGUUGGAUUCCAGAGAGAGAGAGAGAGAGAGAGAGAGAGAGAGAUACCCUUUAGCGUUGUUUCGUCUUGUGUGUGCUAAACCAACCAAACCCAAGCGACGCCGGUGGAAGUCGUAUUGUCUUCUCUUUCCAUUCCAUUCCACACUACAGUAACUCUCUCUCUCUCUCCCUCUCUCUCUCUCUUAAAUUUUCAUUCAUUCUCUUUUUAUUUAUUCUUUUAUUCAAAAUACAAUGCAAUUUCAAACUCAAUAAAACCAUGCAGAGAUCUCUAUUACUUUCUUUCUCUCAGUGGGAACCAAUUGCUUCACUUCUUUGAUUUUUUUUGAUGAUGCCCAUUUAGACCCUUUUGUUUAAUUUGAUUAAAGUUUGAAUCUUUUUUUAAUGGGGUUGAUUUUUUCUUGUAUGUUUCACUAUAUGCUAUAUGUUUUUGGUGUUUUGAGGCAAUUCUGGUUAAUGUGUUUUUUUACCAUUUUGAUGAAAAAUUGUUAUGAUGAUUGUUGAAGUAUUGUGUGAGUAAAAUGAGAAGGGUUGUUAUGUUGAGUUGGUGAGCUUGUGCUUUGAGGGAGAGUACAUACCUAUGUAGCAGUUGAUCGAAGCCGUGACGCGACACUUACACAUGUGAUUAAAUUCAAUUAUGUCAUUUUCUCAAAUUACUAUCAGUGUCGACAUGUUAGUGUCGUGUCCGUGUUUGCUUUGGUGUUUCAUAGGGACAUACACUGUUUUGAGUGUGUUUGGAUGUGCCUUAUAUUUUUGCCAUUUGUGGAAGUUAAGGUUUAGGGAUUUAUUGUAAGGUUUGGUUUUGAAGAUUGAAAUGAGAUAGAAAUUGAAAAUAUUGGAAUUUUGGAUUAACAGUUAGGUGAUGUAAGGGUGUAAGAUUUUGUUUUGAAGUUGAUGGUUCAUGUUUAGUUCAAUUCAAGGAUGGAACAUAUAGAUGGGAUUUACGAAAACUGGUUUUUGAUAUCUAAAUGAGCUUUCGAUAUUGCACUACAGUGGCACAGCUGUUUGCUGACUCUGCCGCGUAAUGCUCCAGGAAAAAAACCUGUUUUAUUGUUUUUUUUUUUGUUUUUUAGUUUAGAUUAAUGUUUAGUGACUUAAGGUUUAGGUGGUAGACAAAAUCACUAUUCCGUAUGUAGAAUCAGACGUUUCUACGAUCUCACAACCCCUAGUUGUGUUUGUCUAUGCCACAUAAAUUAUUUGAAAUGGAUGAGAUCCCCGCGCAAAGACGCGGGAAUGGCGGAAUCAUGCGAUUCUGCGUUUCUCAUAAUUCCGGGUUCGCGAUCCGGUUACUUAAAACGUUCAAAACCCUAAAAAAACACGUGUUUUAUUUUACUGUGACGUGCAACAGUUAAUUUCACACUCGUAACCUCCCAUUAAGCCUAUUAAUUUGUUGAAACCUUCCCGAUAUACUCACUUAUAUCUCACCAUCUAACCCUUAAAAUCUUCUGUUUUUAUUUUAUCUUUUUUUUGAUAAAAUGAUUUACUGUUUUUCUUUUCACUAUUGUUCUGCCUUCCAUCGUGUGCAACCGUUCGUUCAUAACAACCCCCUAUUGACUAAUUCGUAGUUUUUUUUUUUUAAUAAAUUUUUUUGACUUGUGUUCUAUGUUAUGAAUUUUGUUGUCCUAAAUUUGAGUUUCUUUAAGUAGUUUGGGUGUUAUUUGAUUUAUUUUAUUUUACUAAAUUAUAUUUUUUCAUUUGCAUAAUUAUGAAUUUAUAUGCAAUAUAUGAGUUUUUGAAAUUGGUGGGAUCUUACGAUCUAUUUAUGAUCCCCCGAUUCACGAGCCUGUGACCCCUCCCUGUUCUUGCGUAGGAUCUAGACUCGGACUACCUUAGUUUAAACUUGGUUGUUUUCUUGACUUAUUUUUGGUGUUUACUUCUAUGUUUUGUUUAAGACCUAUUGAUCAAUAUUUCACGAAUUGAGUUUGAAAGAAUGGAGAAUAUAGAGGUCAUCAUGGUAUGGGCUAUCUUACUAGUAUUUUUGAGAUUAGCGAUUAUGUUUUGUCAUCCGAGAUUGUUAACUGUGCUUGUGUUCCUCUCCCUGUGUAAGAAUGGUUCCUUCUGUGGUUUAAGUAAAAGUAAAAUGCGUUGAACUUGUUUAACUUCUGGUAUAGAAAGUUUAGAUGUUUCUCAUGGAUUUAGUUUUAUGAAGGGACCCCCAUGAAAUUGCCUUGUAACCAAUAAAAGGCGAUAAAUAGGGUAACUGCUAAAAGCAAGUGCGAGGUGUAGGUUAAGAGGAAGUGAGACUUAAUCAUAUGUUACUGCAUUAAUUCCUCAGAUAUAGCUCAUAUUUGUCACAUGUAAUAUAAAAAAAAGAAUUAUUAUCCCUUUUAGUGCACCGGGAUGCCCUUCCCGGACCGUGUGAAUGCGGAAUCUUUAGUGCACCGGGCUGCCCUUUUUUUUAUUAUCCCUGUUAGUAUUUGCUGUUUAAGGUAAUAUUAAUAUUCUCUCUGUUUCAUCCAAUGUAAACCAAGAGAGAAAAAGUUUGUUAGAUAACAAGAAAACAAUUAAGUACAAUCUUGUAAAUCUAAAGGAAAAGAGAGAAAAAAAAAAAAAAAUUCCUUUUUGAAGUAUGUUCUAUCAUUUCAUAUUACUCUCCUUACCAGCAAAGCAGCCUACAGUCUGGUAUGGCGACAUAUAACAUUUUAGUGUGGUUUAUUUAUUAUGUAAAUUUCCAGCAUGAUUAUGAUACGUUCAUAUACCAAUGUAUCAAUCGUACACAAUAACCAUAUAGUUUUGUUCUGCAUCUAGAUUUGCUUCCAGGGGAAAAAAUAUUGUCCACCCCUAUAUUAUUAGGUUUUAAUAUCAUUAAUGUUUUUCAAAUUCAUAAAAUAUUAAUUAAAAUUCUUAUAUGGAUUUCUAUUGUGAAGUUAAGACUCCGGUUUCGCAUUUCUGCAAUACGUAUCUUGAACAUAAAAAAAUCUCUUAACAAUUGAAUAGACAACUUUGUAUCAGAAAUUUCAUCUGUCCUAAAGUGGUUUGCUCACAAUAGAUCUUCCUGUAUUACUAAUUUAUGUGCUUUUCAUAAGGUCGGUUUAGGAAGUAGAACAUUGUUGAAGGGUCUUGGGGAAGGGGAUUGAGAAUAGAUAUGAUGUGGUGUGUUUUUCAUUACAUAUGGUGGGGUUUAUACCACUUGUGCACCAUAGCAUUAGCCUGUUUUAGGUAUUUCCUUCUUAUAUAGUGGAAUAAAUGUCGAUUUAAUGUCUACUUGCUUUAAGCCUCUAGAUGCUUACACUUGUUUGUUGUUGGCUUUUUUUGGGUAUUUACUUAUAUGUCUUGGGUAUUAAUUAUUUAAUAUGUAUUAAAAAAUUCAGAACAGCUGUCAUCCUGGAUUUUGGUCUCAGCCGCUACGCAUCGCUAUCCGGGGAUUAAAACUACACACCGUUCAUCAAUAUUGCUUAAAAUGUGAGUGAACAUCUGCAUAUUGCUUACUUUACAGCUAUUUUGUCGUUUGCUUAAACAAAUAUUAGAUGCAACUCAUACAAGUUUGUAUGUCUGGCCAGAGGUCUACAACCACCUGUUGCUUGUCGUUUACCAUUUUCUGACUUUUCCCUAUAAGAUGCUCUUAUUUUGAUUGCUAGCUAUUAAUGUCAAUACCAACAUGCAUUAGACAUGUUCAACCAAAUGCUAUAAAGUUUGAUGAUUAUAUAUCUCUUUCAUGUUUAUUAUUCAAUAUUGUGUUUCCUUAUAUUUUCUACUGCCGCAAUUUUCCCUCAGAAUGAAGCACGAGUAGAUGGCAGUCAAAGUUGAGGAUUGUCAAUUACUUCCUUUUGAUUACAGGAAGGAUCCAUCACUAAAAUCUGCUGAAUAAAUCGAUCAACUUCCCUGGUAAAGAAGUUUCUUCUUAAACUUUAUAUAGAUUAGUUGUCAAGACAUGUGAGCAGUAGAAAAUAAUAAAAAUUGAUCAUGAUUUCUUUCCUUCAUAUUAAAAGAUACAUAGUUCUGACAAAUUGUAGUUUUGGAAAUCCUUUAAUUUAUUCUAAUUCUACAAGUAAUUUGUUUGCUCCAUAGGUUUCAACAUAUGAUUAGUAAUUAAGACUUUGGGGCUUUUUUCCUUUUGAUGUAUUGGCAAUUUUUUUUUUUCCUUCUUGUACAUUGGGGCUUUUAAGGGUUUCUGAUAUCCUUGUACAUUGCAUCCUCCCGUUCUUGAUAAAUUUCUUUUACAAAACAAAACAAGAAAAACAAAAAAAAGGGAGGAUGCAAAUGAAAAUCCUUGUCCAUUCCAUUGUUCUUUUAGGAAACAGAUCAAUGUUUUCAUUUUCAUCUCUUAAAUGAAAACAUUUGCAUCAUUCCUCUCUAACGCUAGAUCUGUUUUCCAUUGAAUCACCCCGCAUCUCCUGUUUUCAUUUUCACAUCAACUAAUUCACAUCAGAGAAUAUAGCUCAACUAUCUGUCUCACCAUUCUUUUACGAUUAUUGGAAACAGAUCUAGCAGUUCAGGAGAUUUUGAAAAUGCCAAAACAUUGUUUCGGACAAUGCAUUCUUCCUAGCUUCGCCUUCCAUCUUUUCUCUAUCACAAUUAUUCAUUACAUGAGUUCUCCAUCUUUAAUUAUCUUUAAUACACAACUUUGGCCAUUAACAUCUUUAAUUAUCUAUAAUAAAAAAUUGAUAUUUUGAAAAUAUUCAUUGAAACAAAUACAACAUCUUAGAUCCUAACAUUUGUAUCUAUCUAUUAGUUAAAAAAUAUGGUUUAAGUAAGUUAUGUGAAUAGUGCAUAUUGUCACACUACGACACGUAUUUUGGAAUGGAGGGAGUAUAACUAACCCUUAAUUUUCUUUAUGUAUUUUAGUUGUCAGUAAUGGAAGUGGGAGCAGCGGAUCCUUAUACAACAAAUCCAGGUCCAAUUGAUGGUUCAGUUCUAUAUGAUCAAGACAAGCAUGUUUCAACUGCAGUUUGGGAAGGACAGGUAGAUUUCGCUAAUAGCCAAUACCUUCCGUUUCACUAUUUAUUUUAUUUUCUUGUGUAAAUUCUUGUCAUAGCCUGACUGUUAUAUAACUGUUCUCUCGUUGAUACAUUAUGUUAGCAGGAGCGCGGAGCCCUCAGAUGUCAUGAACACACUUCAAAACUUGAUCAGUGGACACUUACACCUAAACAGAUUGAAUUGGUAGAGAAAGCUGGAUUCAGAUACUUACGGUCUAUUCCAGCUAUUAGUCUAGAUAAUCCACUUAUCUCUGCUCUAGUUGAACGAUGGAGACGAGAAACAAACACUUUUCACUUGAAUGUCGGUGAAAUGACGGUAACCCUCAAAGAUGUCGCACUAUUGAUUGGGCUCGCAAUUGAUGGGGAACCUGUUAUAGGUCUUACGCAUACCUCAUGCAGUUCCGUUUGUGAAAAGUAUCUCGGAAGAGCACCAGAAUCGGGUUACACAAGUGGCGGGAUGGUGAAGCUAAGUUGGUUGAAAGAGUUCUUUUCUCGAUGUCCCAAUGAUGCUCCAAUCGAAGUGAUAGAGCAACAUACUCGUGCUUAUCUUCUUUAUCUUGUAGGUAGCACCAUAUUCUCGACCACUACAGGAAAUAAGGUCCCUGUAAUGUAUUUGCCGUUAUUUGAGAAUUUUGUUAGAUGCGGGCAAUAUGCCUGGGGAGCAGCAGCAUUGUCAUUCUUGUACAGAGCACUAGGCAAUGCAUCACUAAAAACUCAAAGCACCAUCAGUGGAUGUUUAACACUACUGCAGGUUUUUGUCCUCUUCUUUUUAACCCUUCAACCUUUUAUCAUUUUCUUUCAAACUAUAGUUUUUCUUUCUUUAAAUACUGAUUAUUCUGUGUGGCACUGACACUUGUCGAACUUCGAAGAAUGAAACCGGCCACAGUUACUUUCAAUUUCUUACAUUUUCUCAAAUAUACUUAUCUCAAUGUGUCAAUGUUAUGUCUGGCAUCUAUGUAUGUGUCAUUGCUUCAUAGAGUUUAACAGAUUAUUAUGCAUUUGCAGUGUUGGAGUUACUUUCACCUAAAUGUGGGACGGCCAAAGCUUAAUCUCGAAAUGAUGCAUGAUCGAUUUCCCUUUGUGCUUAGAUGGAAAGGAAAACAAAGUGGGCCAACUGCAAAUCGUGAUGUAGUUUUUUAUCGGAAGGCUUUGGAUUCUCUAAAACCAUGCGAUGUAAGUCUUAUUGUCAUUUGUAUUCUUAAUGUUAGUGUGAUAAUGUUCUAUAUAUCAUUUUAAGAUAUAGAAUCUCACUAGUUAGAUCUACAGGUAGAAUGGCUCCCCUACCGAAACAUGGACAGUAUGGUGAUUCCAGAUCAUAUCAAAAGCACUUUAAUUCUUGGGAGGUCAAAGACAAUGCUAAUAUGCUUUGACAAGGCAGAAAGACAUCUUCCGGAUCGAUGCUUAAGGCAAUAUGGCAUGCUUCAAUCAAUUCCGGAUGAUGUGGAGCGAUGGGAGAGGAAGAGUAGAGGAGUUGAUGGCGGGGUUGAUUUGUCCGGGAAAAUGGAAUCAGAACUUACUGAAUGGAUGGACCGUCAGCUGCACAUUGUUGAUGGAGAUGAAGGUGUUGAUGAAAGCGAGUACAUGGAUUGGUAUAUGAGAAUUACCCGCAAGUUCAUAGGGAGGCCUAUUUCUCUGUCAUCCGAGUUUCAGAGAACGGUAAGGAUAUGUUUCAGGAGUUUUAGUUUUAUAUAUCUUGUAGCAAUGAUAGAUGAAGUUUGAAAUGCUUUUAAUAGAAAAUAAACAAAUGCUUGCAGAAUGCUGGUCUGAGAGAUAUUGCACACAUAGCAGACACCUUUUCAACAAAAGGGUUAGAUCCACAACAAAUCGAAUCAAUAUCUCGGAUACGAUAUAUUGCCCAUGAAUGUUUGAGAGACCAAUUCAGUGGUCCAAGGAUAGUAACAUCAACCCCGCAAGCUGAACAUGGAAAAAGGGUAAGGGGAAAAGAGAGGAUUAGAAGAAAAGGUGGUGCGGGUAAACGAUUGCGGAAGGAUGGCGCGGUUCAAUAUAAUGUCGUUAGUGACGAUGAACAACCUGAAUUCUAUGGCACUGCUAUUGAUGUUGGCCAAUUGCAUCUAAGUCAUAUGGAUAGAGAGAUGGACAAUCAUGCACAAUUAUGUACCGUAGAAAGUGCAGUUAGUUCUGUCCAUAUGAUUCAUGCAGAUGCCAAUGCUGAGAAUAUGCACCUUUGCGAUGCACACCUCAGUGUUGAUCAAUCAGAUCUUGUUUAUGAAGAUGAUGAAAACGAUGAUGAUUUAGCUGCCGAGUUUAACCAUGAUGAUCUAAAGCAAGAAGCUGAUGAGGAAAUAAAGGAAGAGCUUAACCAUAUGACUGGUGAGGAAAAUAUUGAUGAGCUACAUGCAGCUACUGAGAUUCAUCAAGAUCUACGGCCGUGUGAUCAUAUAAUGAUAGAUGACUCACAGUUUUGUGAUGUAAGUCACGAUAUCAACAACACAACACUUUCAGAUGACGCCGAUGACAUCAAUCACACACAUUUCGGUGACCCCGAUGAGGUCGAUCCACUAGAAAUCAAUCCAACAGAAGAUUUUGUUAAUGCUCAACUUUCUCAUGUUAAUGAUAUAAGUGAACCACCAACAUCUGAUAUGGCAGAAAUGGAAGUAUCUCAACAUUCUUCCAUUGAAACUCAUGGGGAUAUUUCACAGAAAGGUGAUUGUAGUGUUGCUGUAUAGAGUGCAUACCUUACAUACAUUAUUUGUAGAGAAGCAAAAUGCAAAUUUUUUUAGGCAGACUUAAUUUUAUGAGAGGUGAUCAUGCCCUGUAUAAUUAUUUAUAUUCAUUUUUUGAUGUGUCGCUUGCAUUUUCCUUACAUUAGUGUGUAGUGGAUGAUUUAGAAACAAUCAUUGCAUAUAUUAAAAUUGAAAUUGUAUAUUGAAAUAUUAAUAUGUGUAAUGCUUGUUACUGAUGAUGUAUCGAUGGUUCAUGUCGAACACGGUGUAUGUUUCUGUUUUUGCGAUGAGUUGUCUUAUCGUAUCACAUUUAGUGUGUUUGGAAACGGACGUUUCCACGGUCCUAACACAACGGUCCUAACACAACGUAGGUGGACUCUUAUCUUUACAAAUCUCUAUAAAUCGCAACAUUUUUUAAAAUUUGAUUCAACAAUUUAUUAUGUAUCUCCUAUCAUGUUGUUUUUAACACAGAUCAUGCUAACUUAUAAAAUAUUAUAUUUAACUAUGAUAUAAUUAUGUUUCAUUUAUAGGGUUGCUUAAAACUUAGCCCUGGCCUGACAAGAGGUCAUGAAAACUAAAGUUGGGGUCAAAGGUCCCAACAUUUUUCACAAUUUUUUUUAGGGAAAAUACUUUUUUCAAUUAGAAGUUUUCAUAAAUUUUUUUUUGACCAAAUAACCACUUUCGUUCCUGACUCUGCACCUUGCUGUCACAUAGGUCCCUGACUCAGGAUUAAAUACAAAUAAUUUUUUUUUGAGCAAAUAGUCACUUUAGUUCCUGACUCUGUCAGGAACAAAGUGAUUAUUUGCUCUUUUUUUUCCUUUCUUUUUUCUGGAAUAAAAAAGUUUUCAUAAUUUUUUUUAUUUUCCUUUUUCUGGAAUAAAAAAAGUGACUAAAAACCCUUUAUCUAUGCCCACUAAAAAUGAUAAUUACAAAAUGUAACCAAGAUUAAAAAUGAUAAUUGACAGUUCAAGAUAUAACAUGUGUAUUCUAUCAUGUCUCUUUUCAUUGGCACUAAAUGGGUUCAAAUGUUGAUCAUGAUUUUCUCAUUAAAACCAAAAUGGACGAAAAAAUAUAUCUUGAUAAUUUGUUUUGGACAGCUCUUUAAAUAUUUCAAAAGAAAAUAUUUAAGUUUUCCAAAUCAAUUUUCAAAGCCUUCUUGUUUGGAUAUUUCCCAUUUUUUUCUUGCUUUUUUCUUGAUUUCCAAAUCAAUAAAUUAUGGCAACUUCAAGACAAUUGUAAAAUAUGAGGUUCAUAGAAAUUUCAUUUCUUUUAUAAAACUCAAAUUUUUUUAAUAAAUUUUAAAGGAUCAUUGAUAAAUAUUAAUAGAGGUUUCAUUUAUAUGCAUAUCUCUAUACUAUAUGAAAAUUUUUAAAUAGACCAAUAAACUUAAACAUGUGUAAUCAUAUUCUUAACACAUGUUAUAACCAUUUUUUUUUUUGUCAAAAAAAAAAACCACUUUUUUUUCUUUACAUCAAAGGAUGAUUAGCUCAGGGACGUUGGUAUAUAAUAAUAAGCAUGUCAUUUCAGUGUUGACAAAAAUCAGUAGAGGUGUCCCAAUGAAAUUAUUAAAUAAGCACCAAUUUUCUUGUAUAUUAUUUAAUAAGCACCAAUUUUCUCCAACCCAACACCUCAAAAGAAAUUAUUAAAUAAGUCCCACAAAUAAUUUUAUAUCAUUAUAAUUCAACAAAAUUUAUUUAAUUUAUUAAGAUUUAUUAAAUAGGACCAACAAAAAAUGAAGAGAGAAAGGGUUCUUCCAUAGCUACCCUUCUCCAUAGAUAUCCAUAUACUUUACUCCACAAUAGAGGUGUCUAUUUAACGUGGUGCUAAAUAGGUUAAGCAUCCGCCAUUGUGGAUGGGUCUAACGCUAUUUUUGAGCCUCCAAACAUAAUUACAAAAUAUAGUUGUUUGCAAAUUGAUAGAUAUUCGAUAUCAAUGAGAUGUAGAAACUAUUGGCAUUACAUAAAUAGCAAUGUUAGAAACAAAUUGAUAGAUAUUAGAUAGCAUUGAAAUGUAGAAAUAAAUUGAUCAUUUACGGCAGUCAAUGUACCAUUUGUUGGCAAUACAAAACUGCAAAUAUCAUGCUCUCAAAAAAAAAAACGGCAAAUAUCAUGUCAUUAAAAAAUGUUAUAAUAAUGGUAAAGUUAACAUGUGAUGUAACUUUGUUUUUUCUUUCUUUCUUUGGGAACAAAUUUCAUGUCAGCUUUAUUAUAUGUUGCUUAUAGUCUAGCACAAUCAUAUUUACUUCAAAUUCAUACCAUAUUCAAUUUGUAUUAACUAAGAUCAGACUUAAGUGGUUAAUGAUUUCUCUUUAAAACGAAUCCUUCAAGAAAACCAAAUUUAAAGUCAGGGUACCUUGUGUCCAUUUUCUCUAUAAAUCUGAGGGUUAACAACAUAAUAAAAUUUAAUUUGUAUUACUUUGUUAAUUUUAAAUGACAAAUUUGAAAUUUAAUUUUGCCAAAUCUGUGCGGUAUUCAUAGCAAUUUCCUUUGUCAUUAUCAAAACAGGUUCAAAUGAUGACAGAGCAAUUCUAUAAUAUUAUCUUCCCUGCCUAUUCAAAGUCUUAUAAUUUUGGAGCGAUUUCAUUUUUUCUAACAAUCAGACCUCAUUUUCUUAGCAACCUUUUUCCAAUUUUCUUAUAUAAGCACAUUAAAAUCUCAUAACAAAUCAUAAUCCCAUUUGAAUUAGAUAUUCUUCUUUGAUUCAAACAAUUAUUCAUGAUGACCAUUCUUACUACACAAAUUUCACUUCUUUUGCUUACACUUUUAUCUAUAACUACAUUCCACAAAACCAUGUGUAGCAAUCACACAGUUGUUCGCUGCAAUGAGAAAGAUCGAGAGACAUUGUUAACGUUCAGACAGGGCAUCCAUGAUAGUCUUGGUCGGAUAUCAACGUGGUCAACUGAAAAAGAUUGUUGCGUAUGGGAAGGAGUCCGCUGCGACAACAUUACCGGAAGAGUUACAGAACUUGAUCUCAAACCUCGUUUUGAAGAUGAGUCAAUCAGAUUUUUGAAAGGUGAGAUGAAUCUUUGUAUUCUAGAACUUGAGUUUCUCAGUUACUUGGAUUUGAGUCUGAAUGUAUUUGACGUGAUAAUAAUUCCAUCCAUUCCACACAACAUCACACAUUCAUCUAAACUUGUAUACCUUGACUUAUCCCUCCUCAACAAAUUUGUCGAUUUAGAAAAAAAGAAAACUCUGCACAUGGAUAGUCUUCAUUGGCUUUCUUCACUUUCUUCCUUAAAAUAUCUCAACCUUAGUAACAUUGAUCUUCCUAAGGAAACCAAUUUGUUUCAAAUAGUGAAUUCACUUCCUUCACUAUUAGAAUUACAGUUGAGUGAUUGUAAAUUGAACAACUUCCCAUUUGAUGAGUAUUUGAAUUUGUCUUCAAUUGUAACUCUUGAUCUUUCUAGAAACAACUUUACCUCUCAUUUACUUGAUGGGUUUUUUAAUCUUUCCAAAGAUCUCAAGUAUCUCGACCUUUCUUGGAACAAUAUAUAUGGUGAGAUACCUUCAAGCUUGCUAAACCUUCAAAAUUUGAGACACCUUGAUCUCUCUUAUAACCAACUACAAGGAUCAGUUCCAGAAGAAAUAGGCCAACUUUCCCAUAUUCAACAACUUGAUCUCUCUGAAAACCAACUACAAGGAUCUAUUCCUUCAACUCUAGGAAACCUCUCUUCCUUAAAUUACUUAUUUAUUGGCUCUAAUAAUUUCUCUGGUGAAAUUUCAAAAUUAACUUUUUCCAAACUCUAUACUUUAGGUUUGCUAGACAUGAGUUAUUCAAAUAUUGUAUUCCAAUUUGAUUUGGAUUGGAUUCCUCCUUUUCAACUCUUUCACCUUUCAUUGGGAAAUACAAAUCAAGGCCCAAACUUUCCAUCUUGGAUAUAUACACAAAAGUCAUUGCAAGUUCUCGAGUUAUCAAACUCGGGAAUUUCAUUGGUAGAUAGACAUAAGUUCUCGAACCUUAUAGAAAGAGUAGCCAAUUCUCUUAUUUUGUCAAACAAUUCGAUUGCUGAAGACAUAUCCAACCUAACACUAAAUUGUUUGUUCUUAUGGUUGGAUAACAAUAAUUUCGCAAGAGGACUCCCAAACUUAUCACCAAUGGCCUGGGUAGUUGAUUUGUCUUACAACUCCUUCUCAGGAUCAAUUCCACAUAGUUGGAAGAACUUGAAAGAACUAUCACUCCUGAACCUAUGGAGUAAUAGGCUGUCUGGUGAAGUUCAAGAGCAUCUCUCUGAUUGGAAACAAUUGAGAGUCAUAAAUUUGGGAGAAAAUGAAUUUUCUGGAAGCAUACCAACAGGGAUGUCACAAAACUUACAACUGAUCAUAUUGAGAGCCAAUCAAUUUGAAGGGACUAUUCCACAACAACUAUUCAAUCUCUCUUAUUUGAUUUACUUAGACCUUGCACAUAACAAACUUUCAGGAUCUAUACCGGAUUGUGUCUAUAACUUGACUGAAAUGGUUACAUUUUCUGAGGGGGUAUUACCAGCAGAUAUCACAAUUGAGUUGUUUACAAAAGGUCAAGAUUAUAUCUAUCAAAUCCGUGGAGAUACACGUACUAUUGACCUUUCAGCCAAUCACUUGACUGGAGAAGUGCCAUUGGAAUUGUUUCGGCUUGUUCAAGUUCAAACAUUAAACUUAUCUCACAAUAGUUUCAUUGGAACAAUUCAGAAGACGAUUGGAGGCAUGAUAAAUAUGGAAUCUCUCGAUCUCUCUAAUAAUAAGUUUUAUGGUGAAAUUCCUCGGAGCAUGUCUGUCUUAACCUUUUUGGGUUAUUUGAAUUUAUCUUACAACAGUUUUGAAGGAAAAAUCCCAACUGGAACACAACUUCAAAGUUUUAAUGCAUCGAGUUACAUUGGGAAUCCUAAACUGUGCGGAGCUCCUCUCAAUAAUUGUACCAUGAAAGAAGAAAAUCCUAAAACUGCAAUGCCAUCAACAGAUAAUGAAGAUGACGACUCUUUAAGAGAAUCAUUGUAUCUAGGGAUGAGAGUUGGAUUUGCAGCAGGUUUCUGGGGGAUUUGUGGUUCUUUGUUUCUUAUUAGAAAAUGGAGGCAUGCUUACUUUCGGUUUGUUUAUAGAGUGGGUGACAAGAUCUAUGUUACUUUGAUCGUAAAGUUGAACAUGUUUAAAAGAAAUUGAGCUCCUGCUAUAGUUAAGGUUAGUGGAACCUACUUCAUAGUUUUAUUAAUCUGACUAUAGAGUAUUUGUUUUAUUUUGUAAUUCUAUGCAAAACUUAUACCAUUUCAUUUGUUUGAAUCUUUACCAGGUGAUUAUUAAUGUGGAAGAUUCUGCAUUUUUAUGCAAAUCGUGGAAGAUUACGAGUUGUAUGAGAUGAGAUUAUACAUGACUGUACAGUUGUUGCUGCUCAUUUCAUCUUUCACUUUUUGUAAUGUUUUUGUUCAUUGAAAAACCAUUUAUACAAGUCAUAGAAUGAAUGCAAUCAUGUCGUCAAUUGUUCUUCGUAUCUCUCAAUUAUUAUUGUACCGAAUGUAGUGAUUUUAGACAAUCUUAUAGAUAGUUUUGUGGAGAAAGUAGAUUACUUCUUUCUAUUAUCUCUAUAUUUGUCAAUUAUAUAAAAAUUUGCAAUGAAAAUACCAAAGUAUUACAAAGGAUGAAAGAUUUCAUACUAUACAGACUAAGUCAUACAAAACAGUAUUAGUGUUUGGAUGUUUCUCUCUAUUUCUUACUAACUUCUUUCAUACUCCAUUAUUUGUACAUACAUACUCAAUGCCUUAUGAUCAAACACAUUGCAAUGAGAAAGAUUUAUUGAAAAAUUACCAACACAUAUAAGAACUUAGAAUAGUAACAUCAGCAAACUUGGUACUCACAACAAUCGCAUAUAAAGAACAAAGUCUCAAAGAACAGAAUUGUUUGAAUACAAUGUGUAAGUAUAAAUUUCAUGUCACAAAAAAUGUUAUAUGAGGUUUGGAAUUUUGAAGCCAAAAGCAAAAGGGAAGCUCAAGUGAAACUUAAUUAUUUAUUUGUUUUUAAACCAAAAUCGAAGCUUGACUAGAACGAUAUUUAGGUAACAAGUUCAUUCCUUGACUACUGAUAAACAUCUGGGAAUCUUGGCCACUUUGGUGAACUGCAAAGAUGAAGUUUCGUCAAAUUGGUCAAGAAAUUUUUCCAAUCUGCUCAGAGCUAUUUUUCAUUUUAUCAAUUUUGGUACUGUUAAAAUAGCCUCAGAAUGAGAGAUACUCUUCUUCAACUGGAAUGAAUUUAUGAAGAAUUCAAAAGCCUAAGUUUGUUUCUAGCCAGACCAUUAACCAACCAACGAAACUGAGAAAAAAUGGGCCACUUCUUCAGGAUUAUAUUAUUUCCUUGUGUAUCGGAAUCGCAGUAUUAAUUCACAAUUUUCAGAGAUUAGUAAAUUGGCCACUUCAUGGAUACUUCAAACCUUCUUCAUUCUUUUUUAUCGCUUUCUGAAACAUUAAAAUCAAGCUAACCUAAGCUAUCAAACUUAGGAUCACAUGAGCAUGUUUGUUUUUCUAGCACAUUUAUUCAAAAGAGUCAUUAACUUUCACAUAUUGCUACCUGAAUGGCUUAAGUUUUCAAAUUGAACUAAAUCUCAGAUUGUCUAUAUUCACUAACAUGUGAUAUAAAACAAAUAAGUUAUUAUCUAUUGUUGUAUAGUAAUAGCUUAGGGCUCCUUUUCUUAGGUUUCUAUCUUGUGUAAAUGGGUUCAGGGAAUAUACCAAACAUACUCUGGUUGAAUGGACUUAGAAUGAUAUAUACAAUAAUUCUGAAACUGAAGUAAAUACUUAAUGGUCAACAAUCCUUCACACGACGGUGAUGAGAAAAGCCUUUUAAAUUAUAAAUUAAGCGAUAUGAUGAGCAGUUUAUGUAGUUUAAAAAAUGUUAAAGCCUUUAAUGCUACGGGCAAUUUAAUUUUGCCAAAUCUGUGCGGUAUUCAUAGCAAUUUCCAUCGUCAUGAAUAUAAAAAAAUCAACAUAUGUAGCGGUUGUACAAAAAAAUCAACAUAUGUAGCGAUUUGGCGAUUUAAUUUUGCCAAAUCUGUGCGAUAUUCAUAGCAAGAUAUGAUUUACAUUUGGCUCUAAGUAACUCCAAAAUCUUUAACAGACAAAAGAACAGUAUAGGCAAUAGGUAUCACAAUAUUAGUUAAGGCAUUCAAUACUGAUUUUUCUGCUAAUAACUUGUUUGUACAACAAUUCCACUUGAAUUGUUUUAUCUUAGUCAAGUUCAAACUUUGAACAUAUAUAUCUCGUAAUAAUUUGAGUGGAACAAUACAGAACACAAACAUCAAAUUUUGAGUCAAACUCAACAAUAACAACGUGGAAAAACAUUUUGAAGCCUAAACUCUCAAGUGUAAAUGUAUAAUAAAUAAUUAAAACUAUGAUUAAGUACAGUUUUAGAUCAAAGUUUUAUGGCCUGAGCAAAGCCCCGCUUUUAUUGCCUUUGUUUAUGUAUUGUCGAUAAGAUAUUUCCUCCACCAAUGACUAACUGAGAUUCACAUUUUAUCUCAAAGAAGACUAAAGUUGAUGCAUGUGUCUUUGAGGUUUUCUAGCUGUCGUUUCAGUGCUUGGAAAUUUGCCUUCUGCAAGUUGGUUACAAAAUUCAGAGUUUUCUAUAUCUCAGCAUUCAGCUCUACAACGACGAGUUUUGGUAAUCUUUCCUGUUAUCAAAUAAUUAUAACUUUGUUAUUUCGUUUAACUGGGAAGUUGAUAAAUGUUAUAUCAGAGGUAACCAUUAUAUGCAUCAUUUUUCUCAUAUUGGUUUGUGUUGCAAUGAGUCUACAAAGUCCUUUGUUGUGAUCAUUUAAAGGAGAAUGCUUUUGUUGUUCAUUUCAUUUUGAUAAAGCUUUACAUCCAGAUUUUUACGCCAACAAGAACAAAAUUAAGCACUUUAUUCCAAAUCCUGCUAUAGUCUGCUAUGGCGACAUAGCAGCCAGUCGCGUCUAUUUUGAAAUCUGUAGUAGGGUGAUUUUCUGUAGCGGAUAUCAUACCCUCUUUAAUAGCGGUCACUUAAUGCUUCAGAAAUUUAUAUUAUAUUAUGAUUUUUUAGGCAUUUUAGGAGAACAAAAGAUCAGUUUUAAUAUCCAGAAACUUACUUCAAGCCUUCAGAUGCUUAAACUUGUUUAUGUUUGGUUUUUUUUGGGAUAUUUACUUAUGUGUUUUGUUUGUAAUCGUUAACGUUUUAUUGUUGUUUAAUAUGAACUUGAUAGUCAUAAUUAUUGUAUUAUGUAUAAAAUAGAUUCCAAACAGCUGUCAUCGUGGUUUUUGGAAUCGGCCCUCUACCUCUACGCAUUGCUAUUUGGGGAUUAUAGUGAGAUUUUGUUUUUAACUUGAAGGUUAAUGUGAAGUUCAAUUCAAGGAUGGAACAUCUAGAUGAGUUUUAAGAAAACUUGUUUCUUGAUCACACUGUCACUUGAAUCAAUCAAUUAUGGUUACUUGAAGACAAAAUUUUAAAACUUAUAUUUUUGGUUACAUGAUGUUCGUAAAAAUUCUUUAAAUUUAACUCUUUUUUGCUUUUACAAAAGUCUUUUUGUAUGAACCUAUUUCUUUUUUUUUUUUUUUUAUGGCAAUCUGAAUCCCAUUUUUCAAGAAAUUUUGAUUGUUACAUAAAGCCGACCUUAGUUUUCUAGUGAGAGAAACACCACCUUAUCAUCCGUCUACAUAUUUUUUUUCCUUCUUUCAAUCUAAAUGGUUUUCACAUAUAUCAAAGUUUUUCCUUUUGUGUUUUAUGUGAUUUUGUCGUCUAAGUGUGACGUUGUGUUGUUCGUCAACUUGUGCGGCGUUUAAUUUCACGUCUUGUCGUGGCGUUCGUUUAGUUCCUAUUGAAAGAUCAACUUUAGUCAAUUACAAAUUCAAUCAAUGAUUUAGGUGUCAAUGUUGCAGAUCCAGAAGCAUGGGUAUUUCGUGACUUAGAUUUUAUCAUAUUAUCUGUAGGCAUUUUGUCGUUGUAUGUUAUUAACUUGGGUACUUUAAGUUUGUUCUCAGAUUCAUCUUUUACGUUUGUAGUGAUCUUUGUAUUUGAUGAAUUGAAUCAAUCUAAAUGAAUGAAUAUCGUUUUGUUUUUGUAAAAAAAAAAAAUCAAUUUGGAUCAGCAUGCGCUAUAUAUCAUGUCAAUCACAACCACCACUAAAAUAAUUUGAAUUGCGAACAAUUUUCAAUUCAAAUCAUAUUUGUUAAUUUUCAAUUCAAAUAAUAUUUGUUAAUGAAGUUAAUAUUUUUUAAAUUCAAAUAACAUUUGUUAAUUUUCACCUCAAAGGGGACUAUGGUCAUCAAGUCAUCUCGGGUAUGUUUAUAAUUUUUGGACAUUAGGCCUCAAAGGGUACUAUGGUCUUAAAAAUAUUAUUUAUUUUGAAGCGACAUAAAUUAUUGAAUGAACUAUGGUUUUAAGACCAUUCUUAAUUUUGAAGGGACAAUAUAAUAAAAUGAGAUUCUUAAUUCCGAAGGACAUAACAAGGAGAUGAAGAGAAGAAAGACUUGUCAACAUAAGUGAAAGGGAGAAAGAAGAAAAUUAUUUGAAGUUUCAGAAAAUUAUUGAAUAGACUAUGCUUUUAAGAUCAUUUUUAAUUUCAAAGGGACAAUAUAAUAAAAUGAGUUUCUUAAUUCCAAAGGACAUAAAAAGGAGAUGAUGAGAAGAAAGACUUGUCAAUAGAAGUGAAAGGGAGAAAGAAGAAAAUUAUUUGAAGUUUCAUAAUACUCUUUGGUGUGUAGAAAUGACUAUGUGAGCUAUCUAUUUAUAAAGAAAAUUCACAAAUAAUAUGUUAGAAACUUUGGAUACAAAGUAAAUCAAGUAUUACUUUGCGGACAAGUAAUUCACGUAUUAGAUCUAAUAGAAAAAUAUCUUAAAUUGAGUACCAAAAUAUAUCGUAUUGAGUAAAAAAAUAUAUAUUAUAUUUUAACAAAACAUGAGGACUAAUUAAGAUAACACUUUCUAAUAUUGAUAAAUUAAUUACUUAAUUUAACAUUUCCAAAUUAUAAAAUAUAUCAAUCCAUAUUUUCUCCGAUGCUUACUUUAUUCACUUAAUUAUACGGAAAAAUAUAGAUAAACAUCCUUUUUUCAUACCACUCUUGUAUACACCCAUGUGGGAGGUUAUUUUGGUAAUGUGAAACAAAUGAUAUAGUUAUUUUGGACCCACAUUACCACGUGUUGCAUUUAUAUGUGGGGGUUUAAGGGGUGUAUGCCACCUAUGUAUGUCUAUGUAUAAGCACUCUAAUUAUACACCCAUUCUAUACAAACACUGCGUGUAUGAUCUAUACAACAUGAGGACUUCUACUUUUUUUCAAUUCAUAAAAUAUUAAUUACACGCAAUGUGAAAAUUUGUAUUUAAUCUUUUUAACUUAAUUUCCACGGUGGUUCCAAUAGUAACUACCGUUAUUGGUGAAGAAUUAAUUUUUCACAAGAUGUAAUGAUUUUGUUCAUUGAAAAUACGAUUCUGUCACCUUUCUUUCAAUUUCUCUUUUCGAAUAGUACUUUUAUUCAACAUGAUGCAUUUUUCAUGAAUGAAGCAAUGAUGACAAAAUUUUCAUUUCAAUAAAGUAACCCCCUCAUGAUUUGAGGGUAUUUAAUACCCUUUUAUAACAUGAGAAUUGCUCUUGACACAUUGCCAUUGGCUGAGAAACACUAGUAAUUUAUCUAAAUGCCCCUCGACAGUUAACCGAAUUAUGGAACCGGCUGCAGUUAACUACCGAGGAAAACUUCGACAGUUAACUGCCGAGGAAAACUGGAAACUUCGGCAGUUAACUGCCGAGGAAACAUCAAACCUGUUUUUUUUUGACAAAAACCAUAAAUUGUAAUUAAUAAUUAUGUUUCCAUCAUUACUUAAAUAAAAAAUAAACUUUGUGCACAAUUAUUUUAAUGUAGAAAAUAUAACAACAUAUUAUACCUUAAAAAAAUCGUUGUGCACAAUUAUUUUAACAAUUUUUUAUUAUUAUUUUUAUUUAAGUAAUGUGCAAAACAAUAAUCAAAUGCUUAAUUUUUACACUGAUUUAAAUGCUAUUGUUAUUAAGAUAUAUACGCAUAAGUAUAAUACUGCAAUUGUUUGAAACGUAUCAAAAUAAUGAUUGAAACAUUCAAAAUAAUGAUUGUUUGAAACGUACAAAAUAAUGAUGGAAACAAUCAAAAUCAAUAAAUAUUAUUAAUUACAAUUAUGGUUUUUGUCAAAAAAAAAAAUAAAACAGAUUUGAGGUUUCCUCGGCAGUUAACUGCCGAAGUUUUCCUCGGUAGUUAACUGCAGCCGGAUUUCUAAUUCCUCGGCAGUUAACUGCCGAGGGGACAAAAACGUAACUUACUCGUGUGCCAUAGCUAAAUGAAAUGUGGGAACAACAACUCUCUUAUGAUAUCAACCAAUCAAAUUGAAAAAUGUAUACUCUAUUAACUAAAUCAAAUAUGGAAAGAUUUAACCCAUUUGGGUUGCCCUAGUGGUAUAGACUUGAGACUUGGGAGUGUGCUCCUCCUCAAGAUUUUACAUAUAAUUUGUUAUUUGCAUUUUUACCCCAUAUUCAAUUAAGAGUUUAAUUGUGGUGCACUGACUGUGUAAAAGAACUUUACACAGUCAGCCAAUAACAUUUUGCCACAUAUUCAAUUAAUGUACUUUUAUGUUUCCAAUAAAAAAAUUUGAUGAGAUAUUUUAUUUCCACAUUUCAAUUGUUUAGACAAAUUUUGUUCUUCUCUUUUCUUUAAUUUUUUUUGUUUCAAAAUUUUAUUUUUCUACAUUUUUUUUGCACCAUAUCUUGUUUUUUUUCAAGCUUGGAUCCGAAAAAUAAUAAUUCCUAAACGUUAUUUUUGUCUGACAUCAAUUAUAUAUUUUUUUCUUAAUUAGAUUAUUAUAUAUUAUCAUAUGCUUUUUUUUUGGAAAUAUUAUCAUAUGCUUGUUGUAUCUAUCAAUAUUAGUCUAAACAUUAUCUUAUUUUAUCUAUAAGAUGACCAAAUGCUUUUAACUUAAACAAAUAUUUUUUUGACAAGUUAUAAGAAACGAAGACUUGUUUUAUUUCUUGAGAAAAAUUAUAAAACCUAAUUUAGUCUCUGAAAAAUAUAUAAUUCACUUUUAUAUUUUCAGAAAUAUAAAGAGAUGCAACUUAGUCUCUACUUUCUUUACUUUUUUUUAUCGAUGAAAGAAAGAUAAAGGAAAUAAAAUAAGAUACUAGCCAUUUUUUUUGAAAGAUACUAGCAAUUAUUUAGUAGUAUAAUAUAAGAGAAAAUAAAAUAAAAUCAUGAAAGGAAAGACAUGUGUAUUUAUAAAAUAGAAUAAAUAUAUUUAAACAAAAAUUAGAUAUGAUAAAAAUAAAAAAAUAAUUAUUUCAUUACAAUAAAUAUAAAAUAUAUUCUUUAACAAUUUUCAAAAUUUAUUAUCCAAUUCAGGGGAAGUCAAACAUUUUUAAGUCAAUGUGAUAACCACAAUUUUGAUUGAUCUCUAUUUAAGUAUCAUUGUUGCUCAUACAUUCAAGAAUAAAUUUCAAAUCAUCGUCAAAAAAGGAACAAGCCACAUUUCAACUAAUCACGGGUUAAGUCUUAUUAUAGUUCAUCUGAUGACAAGUAAGGUCAAACCAUUGACAUAACAUAACUAACAAAAGUUCGAUCAAAAACGAAUUAAGUCACACAAUAGUUAAUCUGAUUCAGAAGAAAGCUCAAACAUUUGUCAGAGGAGUAAGGCUAGUAACACCCUCUUUUGAACACCGUCCCUUGUAACGCCCUAGUCGAUAUAUUUAUUUAUUUUGAUUUAAUUAGAGUCUUAAAUGUGAUUUUAAUUAAUAUUUAUGAUGUUAUGUGGUGUGAUAUAUUUUAUUAUAUGGUUGAUAUUGAUAUUAAUAUAAUUAGGGGAGAAAUAAUUAUUAUUUAAGGGUUGAGGAGUUAAUUGGAAUUUAUUAAAAAUAAUGGGGAGUUAAGUGAAAUGAAGGGAGUUAAGUAAGUGGGAAGUUUAGAAAGAGAAGUUAGAAAAAUAGUUUCACGUAGAAUAAGUUUUGGGAGAAAAACAAGAGAGAAGCAAGAGAGAACCAAGGAAGAGCCAAGAGUUGAUUUUGCUGUGCAUUUUCUUCUGCAAAUUCAAGGUAAGGGUGAGGUUUGCUUCAAUAGUGUAGUUAUUAAUUUCUGAUUUUGAGUUUAACAGAGUUUUGGUGAGAAUUGGGAAAUUUGGGUUUUGUGAUAAAAUGAUGAUUUUGGGGUAGAGUUUGUUGUUCUGAUGUUAGAAUUAGGUUCUGGUUGCAUAGAACACUUCUUUGCUUAUCUGUAAAUUAAUUUGGGGAGUGAAAUUGAGGAAAAUGGGAUUUUGGGUGAAAAUUGUAGAAAAUUACGAGUCUGAACCAUCGCGACUCGCCUGGCGGAAGUAUUUUCGCCUGGCGGAUCAUCCCAGCAUGAUCUCGCCAUUUUCCCUCGCCAUUGGUUCGCCUGGCGAAAUAUCGCCAUUGGUUCGCCCUGGCGAGUUGUCUGGUGAGCUGCCUCGUAGACUUCCCGAGAGCACCAAUUUGGAGUUCGCCCUGGCGAAUUUGAGAUUUCGCCUGGCGAAAAUGCCUAUUUCAGAUUUCGCUUGGCGAGAUAGUAGUUCGCCUGGCGAAAUUGCCCAGGUUUGAGUGACUGAUCUGUUUGUUUAAUGAUGAAUGAUGUUGAUGUUUAAGCAUGAUUAUGAAUAAUUGUGCAUUUUUCUGAAUUGUUGAAUCACUGUUUGAUGAUGUUGUUGUUGGCUGUAAUGUAUGUUAUAUUCAUUGAAUCAUACAUGUUGUGUAAUUGGAGUCGUAUGGAAAUGUAUGUAUGGUCAAGUUGUAUGUAGAUAUACACAAGUGGGUCCAUUGCAUAUGCAUAAACAGCGGAGAUGACUCAUGUUCUGGAGCACUAGUUGUUCACAGCGGUGAGGGCUUCGGUCCUGAUGAAUGCUUUAACUAUUCAAAAGCGGUGAGGGCUUCGGUCCUGUUUGGUACCACAUGCAUAAUUGGAUAUUUGAGGAGUCUUAGUGGUGUCAUCAUGUCAUGCAUGAGUCUGAUUGUUGGUUGUAGUUGCCAUACUAACGAUGAUGAUGUUGUUGAUGGAUAUAUAUAUAUAUAUAUAUAUAUUAUGAUGGAUUGAUUUGAUGAGAAGUUGUUGUUGCUUGUGAAUUAUAUACUUAUAUUUACAAGAUGAUAUAACUGAAAUUAAUAGGGUGUUAGAUUCAAUUGAAUAUUUUAAUAUCUAUAUGGGUGUUAGAUUCAACUGAAGAUUUUAAUAUCUAUAUUUUAUUGUUGUGAAUCUCACCCCUUCUGCUUGAAAAUGUUGCCCUUCCUAUGGGUAACUUGCAGGUGAUCCUGAGUAGUCGGUGGUGGCUCAAGUGUCGUGUCUAGGGCUCCGAUACAUGGGAUGAGACUUAUUAUUAUGAAUUGUUUUCUUUCCUAUGUAUCAAUUUUGGAACCUGAUGUUAUGGCCCUUUUGUGGUUGAAUUUGUUGUUAGGCUUUAUGCCAAGAUAUUAUUUUGAUGGUUUUAAACAAUUGUUGAUGGUUGAUAAUAAUCCGCUGCAAGUUUAACGAUGUUUGAAAGUUGUUUAAUCAAAUAGUUUCAUAUGCUAUUUAAGGAAUUUUGAACUGUAGUGUAGCAUGCCCGUUUGGUUUGAACUCUGAUGUUGAAUUAAUUAUUAUUUAAUUAUUUUUGGGUAACGGGGUGUUACAUCCCUAAUACUUAUUCUUUUAUUGGUUUAAAUCAUUGUGAGUCUACAAUUUGAAAAUUGAACCCCAACAAAGUGGUGGGACAUACAUUGAUUUCAUCCAAUAAAUAAAUAAGUGUUAACCACAGUUCGAGUAACCGCGAAGGUUCGCUAUAGUUCAUCUGAUUCAUAAAAAAGGUUUAACCUAGGUUAUAAAAUGCUAUGACCAUAUUUUAAUGAGUAAACUACAUUCCUCUACCUUGAAAGAUGCUUGAAUUACACUCCACUCUCCUCUUAUGUUAAAUAUACACUUCCCUCGCCUCUUAUGCAAAACAUAUUAGAAAAUAUUUCACAUUUAAAAUGUAAUUUGCUCUAUUUUAAUUGAUCGCAUGUUGAGUUUCAUUUUGGUUAUAUGAUGUAGAAGAAAGGUUGAACCUUUGUCAAAAAAUAAAAUCACAGUUUAACUGAUAAAAAGUUAAAGCUCAGUAUAGUUCGUUUGAUCCAUACGAACGAAUCAUUAUAGUUCAUUCAUCUGAUAAAAAGUUAAGUCUCAUUAUUGUUAUAUCCGCAAUUUGGUAGAAAGGUCGAACCUUUGUCGGCGAAUGAAAAAACCAUCGUUCGGCUAAUUAGAGGAUAUAAUCAUUGUAGUACGACUUAAUCGUGAGACUCCAUUAAUUAUAAGAACACUAUUCUUAAAGAAUCCUCAAUUAAGGUUCAUUGUGAAGUGGUAUAACAUUAAAGCGUAAAGAUCAUUAUGUGGGUAUACUGAUGAUCACGUCUCAUAGAUCAUGGUCUAAUUUGAUUCUCUCCGAUUUUGAUUUCGAUGGUCUAAUUUGACUUAUUAUUAAAAACAAAACAAAAAAUAAGUAUAUUUCAAAAAAUAUUAAAAUUAAACUUAUUGAAUUAAUUAUUCAUAGUUAAAAUUUAAAUUAAAUUACAGUGCUAAAAGAUAAAACGUGAUAACUAGUUAAACAUUAUUUAAUAAUUUGGAUCCAAAGAUAAUUUGGUGAUAUUUCAAUGCUAAAUAGAAAAUAAAUUUUAGAAAAUAAAAAUCAGAGUAAAAUAAAAUUAACAAGGGAGCGACACAUGUACAUAAAAAAUAUAAAUACUAGAUUACUUUUUAUUUUUAUUGAAAAUAUAAAAAAUAUAAAUUAACAAAAGAAACUAAAAGUAUAACAAAAUUUAUAUAUUUAAUAUAAAAUACACAAGUUUCUAUACAAUUUUACUAUUUCAAACUUCUCAAUAUAUGCAAGUUUAACAUGUGCAAACUUGCACACAGUAAAAAAAAAAAAUCCAUAUAACAAAAAUCGAGUUCUAUGAUUUUAAAAUAUAUUUUUAACAAAAAGGUGUUUUAAAUUCAUUAAUUGCAUAACGUUUAGAUCAAUAUCUUUUUUAUUCUUAUCAAAGAAAAUAAUUUUUAGACUAAUAUAUUCUAGUUUAGGAAAAUUUAAUGUUUAUUUUUUUUUUGAAAUAUAUAACGUUAGCUUUUUGACAUGUUGAAUAAACAUUAUAUAUUUCAAAAAAAAAAAAAAAGGAUUUUGUGAAUUUGUGAGAGAAGAAAAGAUGGUGUAAAAAAUUUGCAGAAAAAGAAGAGAUGAAACAAAAAAAUAAUAAAGAAAAUAAAAUAUGCUUAAUUAAAGAAAGAGUUCAUUAGAUUUCUUGAUUUAAAACAUAAAAACCCAUUAAUUAAAUGUGGGGAGAAUAUGUAAAUAACAAAAAUAUAUUCAAAAUACAUAAAAUGUAAUUAUAUGUUUGACUUUAUUUAAUGUAGUUCAUAUUGAUCAUUUUAAUUGGUCCACGUCAGCAGAGGGUAUUUACCCACUAAUUUAGAGAGGGUAAUCUAAAAAAACCUUUCGAUAAUUGUUGCGAAUGAAAGUGUAGGGACAACGGAGAAGAAAACUGAAUAUCAAUCAAUUCAGAUGACAAAAUUCAUUUUUCACAUGGAGUAAUGAUUUUGUUCAUUGAACCAUUUCAUAUUCAUUUUCAAAUGGUCCUUUCAAUUCAUUAAUUAUGAAGAAUUUUUACCAAUGAAAAUGUAGGAAAAACAAAAUGGAAGUAUCUAAGUCAAAUUUAUCAACUGAGUAUCAAUUCAGAUGAGAAGUUUGUUUUAAUGCAAUUGGUUUAACAUGAGAUCAUUCAAUGUAUCGUUUUCCGACAAUGUAAAAGUACUUAAAUUUCAUGUUACAUGAAAUCUAAAAGUAACAAGUACUGCAACUUUGUUUUCAAAUAAAAAAGAAACAACAUAUGAAACAGUGUCUACUAUAGUUCUGUAAUUUUCCACAUGCUAGUAUGCUUCCAUUAUUCUCUUUCCACAUAGCAAGUGUUGGUGGUGAUAGAAAAGAACAAGGUUCAUAAAAACAAAGUCAAUCUGAAAUUAUUAGUCUUGUUUGAAAAGAAUAAAGAUAUGCUAAUAUGAAUAUACAAUGUAUGGUAACGAAGUUCGGCUAAGUGAAUAUAAACAAGGUUUUAGGAAGUGGACAUGAUUUUGCUGCAGCAAACUACUAUAAUCCUUCUACUUUUUUACACUAUUAAUUAACUUAUUUAAUUAAAGUGUUAAAUAUGUUUUCUUUUCUUAUAAAUAUUCUAAUGUUUUAUUUUUCUUCGACUACUCCUCAAAAGUUUUCGAUCACCAUUUUUAGUCUCUACUUUUCAAUCAACUCAUUUGUAUCAUUCAAAAACUUGAAGGAUUUUUUGUAAGAAUGUUUGUAAUAUUAUAAGAAUUUCUUCUAAAAAAAUAUUUUUUUUUUUAACAAAACAUGAAUUAAAUGAGUUUUUUUUUUUUUUUUUUUUUUUUCUGUUUUUGGCGUUUAAAAAUUUAGAUUUAAUUCAUCUUUGACUAAAAAUCAAUUUUUGCAAGAAUGUUUAUAAUUAUAAGAAUUUCUUCCUAAAAAAACUAUAAUUUUUUAACAAAAACAUGCAUUAAAUAUGAACUUUUAUAUUUUUGACGCUUAAAAAAAUCAUAUUUAAUGAAUGUUUGCCUACAAAUUGCUUUUGACGCUCACAUUUGGGGAUGUAAACAUAUUUAUUAAUAACUUACUGUAUACUUAAUUAGAUAAGCUUGAUACUAUUGUUUGUAUCAAAUCAAAUCCUUCUCAUGUCAUAUACCGUGAACAUAUGCAAAUUGCGAAUUAUAUGCCGGUGGUACUUUCCAUACAUAUUCUGCCCCUUUUUUAAAAUUUAAUGUUCAUUUAAUUUGAUUUUAUUCUUUUAUAAAAAAAUAAAAAUAAAAAUUAGACUGAGGCAAUAGUGCUCAAAUACAAAGCAGAUAAGACUUUUAAGUUCGAAGAUAUUUACAUUUACUUCCCUUUAAUUUAAAGACACGGGAAAGGGCUCUAACCAUGAACUUAUGAAUUCAAAUAUGUAUACCACCAUUGUUAUCAAAAACGCGACUUAAGUCCCAAAAUCCUGGUUUUUGCGAUUUUGUGUAGCUUCAACGACUCAAAUCCAUAGCAAAGUCUUAAAAAUAGGCAAAAUCCAAUCAAAAUCGCACAAAAUUGUGAAAUCCAUUUAAAAUCGCAGGAUUUUUUUUCAUUUUUUGAUAAAGGUCAAUUUUGACCCGGUUUGUAAAUUGACCCGAUUUGAAUCCAUGACCCAUUCUAUAAAUACCCAAAAGGAAAACAUUUUUCAUUCUUUCAAUUCUCCCACAUUUAUGUAUAUGUAUUAUGUGGACUUUGAAUUAUAGUCAUUUAUGACUAUAUGCAAUUUAUAACAUAUAUUUAACAUUAUUUUUGUUUUGGUAUAAUCCUCGAUUUUGAUUGCGAUUUUACGAGUCCCGAAUUUGCUAUCCUAUAUCGAUUUUAUAAAAGUCCUUCAAUAAAAUCCUUCCAUUUUGAUUGCGAUUUUACGAGUCUCGAUUUUGCUACUCCCUUUUGACUUGAAGUAAAGUCUCAAUUUUGAUAACCUGUAUACCACCCAUGUUAUAUGACGUAUGUUAUAGAUAUUAUCCAAUCCAACAAUGAAUUUUCGAAUCGUUUUCACAUGCUACAUUUGGAGCAUUAAGCUGUGACAAAUUUUCCAAUUCAUUAAUUUAGAAUAAUUAUGGUCAAUGAAAAAGUGUGGAGAAAAUAACCGGGUAUCUCAGUCAACAGAUAUAGGUUUUAUGGAGAAAUUUGCUGUAAACUGUGAAUCCCGGAUACGAGAUACGAUACUACACUGAUAUGUCGACACGGUAAAAUUUCAAAAAUCAAGAUACGAUACGGCUGUGAUACGUUAAUAAAAAAAAUUAUAUAAUUAAAUGUACAAUAUAAUUAUAACCAUUUUUUUUAAUAUGCAAACAUAUUAACAACAAAAGAAACUAGUCAUAGGCUCAUAACACAUCAACAUAAAUAUAAAUUAUAUUGACGAUUAAGAGAGCGACGAUUAGUCAAUUACAUACACAAUACAUAAAAUAAAAUAAAAAACACCAUAAGUGUUAUACUAUAUCCAAAAGAAACAUUGUCAGUGCUAUACUAUAUCGAUCCAAAAAAGAAGCACUAUACUCAAGAGUUAAAUUAUUUUAUUUAACGUUAAUUGAAAAUUAUUGGGGCAGGUAAAGAUGCAGGAUAAUUAUCGGAUUCUUUCCUGAUACGUAUCGGGAAGUAUCGAAUAAUUAUUGAAAAAAAAAAAUUUAAUCUUCGUAUACUCUUCUGAUACGUAUCGGGCAGGUAUCAGUGCAGGUUACACAGGAGAUACGAUACGUCAACCAUUUUGAAGUAUCGGAGCUUCAGGUGACCAAUUCAUGUAUCAUGUGAAAAUACCAAUAUUGUCUUAUAAGAUGAAUUGGAAAUUGCUAGAGUAAUUUUUAUAGUCUAUGAAAUAUAAUUCCUGUGUAAAAAUAGGAUAAAGUUGCAUACAAUACAUUAAAUGGUGGGACCCUUUUUCGAACCCUGCGUAUAUGGGAGCUUUAAAUGCACCAAGUUGCUUUUUUUUUUUAUUUUUUUAUUUUUUUUAUUUUUUUUAUGAAAUAUAAUUAUUUGUAGUGGUGUUACAAGUUCAAUCUUGAAACUUGAAUUAACAAAAGAAGAUGACAACUACUGCAAUUAUCCGAGUAUCACAUAUUGAUAAUUAAUACAAGAAACGUUAAUAGAUGCUUGAAAACUCCUAAUAAGUUUCAAUUGUACUCUUUGUAUCAAAUACUACCCCGUCCCUAAUUAUAGGACCCUUUUAAAAAAAAUAACGAGAAUUAAGAUAGUGAAUAUUUGUAUUAAAUAUGUUUGUAAUUAUUAUUGUUUUUAUAAAUUUAUCCUUCAAAAGAGAGAGUUGGUUUAUGUUUUCAACAUGUUAUUUAUUGCUGAUUGAAGAAAAAGAUGAAUAAUAAAUAAAGACAUGUAAAGAAAAGGCAUGUAUAUAUGAAAUAUCAAUGGUGAUAUGUCCAAAGUCUUCUUUGCUUUUUUCUAAAAUCUUGUUGUUUGGAGCUGUCACAAAUCUACUCAUUCACAGGAGCUAUUUUUUUUUUUAAUGCUUUCCCAUUAGCAAAUAUCUUAUAUAAUCACACUAGAUCAUCUCCUAACAUAUGUCAUUAAGCUAAUAACAACUCUUUCAAGCAAUCACAUACCUAUUCGAAUUAUAGCUAUAUCUUUUUUUCUUGUGAUCCAAAGAAUCAUUCAUGAUGGCCAUUCUUACUACACAAAUCUCACUUCUUUUGCUUAUACUUUUAUCUAUAACCACAUUCCACAAAACCAUGUGCACCAAUCACACAUUGGUUCAAUGCAAUGAGAAAGAUAGAGAGACAUUGUUAACCUUUAAACAUGGCAUCAAUGAUAAUUUUGGUUGGAUAUCAACAUGGUCAAUUGAAAAAGAUAGUUGUGUAUGGGACGGAGUCCACUGCGACAAUAUUACUGGAAGAGUUACAAAACUUGAUCUCAGCUACGAUCAAUUGGAAGGUGAGAUGAAUCUUUGUAUUCUAGAACUUGAGUUUCUCAGUUACUUGGGUUUGAGUGAGAAUCAUUUUGAUGUGAUAACUAUUCCAUCCAUUCAAAAAAACAUCACACAUUCCUCUAAACUUGUCUACCUUGACUUAUCCUACAGCUUAGUUAAUGAUAUGAAUAAUCUUGAUUGGCUUUCUCCACUUUCUUCCAUAAAAUAUCUCAACCUCGGUGGAAUUGAUCUUCAUAAGGAAACCAAUUGGCUUCAAAUAGUGAAUUCACUUCCUUCACUGUUAAAAUUACAGUUGGGUGAAUGUAACCUGAACAACUUCCCAUCUGUUGAGUAUUUGAAUUUGUCUUCACUUGUAACUCUUGAUCUUUUUCGAAAUAACUUCAACUUUAAUUUACCAGAUGGGUUUUUUAAUCUCACCAAAGAUCUCACUUAUCUUCACCUUUCACAAAGUAAUAUAUAUGGUAAGAUACCUUCAAGCUUACUAAACCUUCAAAAACUGAGACACCUUGAUCUCAAAUAUAACCAACUACAAGGAUCAAUUCCAGAUGGAAUAAGCCAACUACCAAAUAUUCAAUACCUUGAUCUUUCAUGGAACAUGUUAAGUGGUUUCAUUCCUUCAACUCUAGGAAACCUCUCAUCCUUAAUUUCCUUAUCGAUUGGCUCUAAUCAUUUCACUGGUGAAAUUUCACAAUUUUUUUUUCCAAACUCUCUAGUUUAGAAUGGCUAGACUUGAGUAAUUCAAAUUUUGUAUUCCAAUUUGAUUUGGAUUGGGUUCCUCCUUUUCAACUCUCUUACCUAUUUUUGGGAAAUACAAACCAAGGCCCAAACAUUCCAUCUUGGAUAUAUACACAAAAGUCACUGCAAAAUCUCGACAUAUCGAGCACGGGAAUUUCAUUGGUAGAUAGAAAUAAGUUCUCGAGCCUUAUAGAAAGAAUACUUUAUAAACUAUUAUUGUCAAACAAUUUCAUUGCGGAAGACAUAUCUACCUAACACUUAAUUGUUUGGAGUUAAGGUUGGAUCACAAUAAUUUCACAGGAGGACUCCCAAACCUAUCACCAGAGGCUGAGAUAGUUGAUUUAUCUUACAACUCCUUCUCAAGAUCAAUUCCACAUAGUUGGAAGAACUUGUCAGAACUGAGAGUCAUGAACCUGUGGAAUAAUAAGUUGUCUGGGGAACUUCCAUUAUACAUCUCUAACUUGAAAGAAUUGGAGACCAUGAACUUGGGAGAAAAUGAAUUUUCUGGAAACAUACCGGUAGGGAUGUCACAAAACUUAGUAGUGGUCAUAUUUAGAGCCAAUAAAUUUGAAGGGAUUAUUCCACAACAAUUAUUCAAUCUCUCUUAUUUGUUUCACUUAGACCUUGCACAUAACAAACUUUCAGGAUCUUUGCCACACUUUGUCUACAACUUGACUCAAAUGGAUACUGAUCAUGUGAAUGAAUGGUACGCUACCACCCUUGAUUUAUUUACCAAAGGUCAAUAUUAUGUGACUGAUGUUAACCCGCAUAGGCGAACUGUUGACCUUUCAUCCAAUAGCUUGUCUGGAGAAGUUCCAUUGGAAUUGUUUCGGCUUGCUCAACUUCAAACGUUAAACUUAUAUCACAACAAUUUGAUUGGAACAAUACCAAAAGAGAUUGGAGGCAUGAAAAAUGUGGAAUCUCUCGAUCUCUCUAAUAAUAAGUUUUUUGGUGAAAUUCCGCAGACCAUGGCUCGCCUAAACUUUUUAGAGGUUUUAAAUUUAUCUUGCAAUAAUUUCAAUGGAAAAAUCCCAACUGGAACACAACUUCAAAGUUUUAAUGCAUCAAGUUACAUUGGGAAUCCUAGACUAUGUGGAGCUCCUCUUAAUAAUUGUACCAUGAAAGAAGAAAAUCCUAAGACUGCAACGCCAUCAACAGAGAAUGAAGGUGAUGACUCCAUAAAAGAAUCAUUGUAUCUAGGCAUGGGAGUUGGAUUUGCAGCAGGUUUCUGGGGGAUUUGUGGUUCUUUGUUUCUUAUUAGAAAAUGGAGGCAUGCAUAUUUUCGGUUUAUAUAUGGAGUGGGUAACAGGCUUUAUGUAACUUUAAUGGUAAAGUUAAAUAGCUUUCGUAGAAUAUGAGCUUCUGCUAGUAAAGUUAAAUAGCUUUCGUAGAAUAUGUAUGGCAUGUUUCUUUGAUCAGACUAAGGAGUAUUUUGCUUAAUUUUGUAAUUCUAUGCAUAACUUAUAUACAUUUUGUUUGCUUCAUAUUUUAUCAGGUGAUUAUGUAUGUGGAAGAUCAUGCACUCUUAUAAUUUUCCAACAGAGCCAAGAGUCAAUAUGUUACUUUAUCACUUGUUGUAAUGUUUUUGUUGAAUUGUAAGUUUUUAUACAAUUUAAAUAAUGGUUUCAUUCAGGUUGUCAUCUGGUUUUUAUACAAGUCAAAGUUUAAAAUAUAGAGUUUUAAAUAAGAAGUAAACAUGCAAAAAACACAACUUUAUUUAAAAUAUUAGUAUGGACGCUAAAAUUGUCUCACAUAAAAAUUCAUCUAACACUCUAUUGCUCAAUAAUCCCUGUAAAAUUGCUCGCAUUUCUAAAAAAAUCUAUUUAAAGUUAUGAUCCAAUUGGGGUUCACACAAAAAAAAAAAAAAAGAUUGGAAGUUACAGCUUAAUUGGUUGAAAUUUUAGAUUGAAGAUGUGUUUGGUGUCCAACAAAAUUACACGAUACAUAUAAAUAUAUUUACUUUAAACACUUUUAUUUUUCAUAUUUUAUUAUCGAUGUUUACCUGUGUAUGGGUUGUGUCCACUGUUCAUUCAGUGCUUCUUGACUAUGUAGAAUAUACAGACAAAUAAUUUAUAUGCUCAUAUUUUAUUGUUCUUUGAACAUGAUUAUAUGCUCUCUUAAUCAAUCCAUACAUAUUUUAUGAUGAAUCACAAUGUUUCAUCGUUUUAACAUCUCUUCUUUCAAAGAAUUUUUUUAUCGAAUACGUUAUUGAACCCGUGCGAAGCACAGAUUUGUAACUAGUUUUUUCUAACAAUCAACCCCAAUUUGAAUGUUUUACACAUACUUUCUUAUCAAUCUUUUUUCAAUUUAUCUUUUUUCAAGCUUUCCUAUACCUCAGCAUCUUAUAUAAAACCACAAUAAAAUCUCACAGCAAAUCAUACUCCCAUUUGAAUUAGUUCUUCUUUUCUGAUUCUCAAACACUUAUUUAUGAUGACAAUUCUUACUACACAAAUUUCACUUCUUUUGUUUCUAUUUUUAUCUAUAACCACAUUCCACAAAUGUGCAACAAUCACACUAUGGUUCGAUGCAAUGAGAAAGAUCGAGAGACAUUGUUAACCUUUAAACAGGGAAUCAAUGAUAGUCUUGGUAUGAUUUCAAUGUGGUCGACUGAAAAAGAUUGUUGUUCUUGGGAAGAAGUCCACUGUGACAAUAUUACUGGUAGAUUUGUCUUACAACUCCUUCUCAGGAUCAAUUCCACAUAGUUGGAAGAACUGCAAAGAACUGAUAAACUUGAACCUAUGGAGUAAUAAGUUGUCUGGUGAUGUUCCAGUGUACCUAUUUUCUAUGAAACAAUUAGAAACCAUGAACUUGGGAGCUAACGAAUUUUCUGGAACCAUACCAAUCAAAAUGUCACAAUCCUUAACAGUGGUCAUAUUGAGAGCCAACCAAUUUGAAGGGAAUAUCCCACAACAACUAUUUAAUCUCUCUAAUUUGUUUCACUUAGACCUUGCACAUAACAAACUUUCAGGAUCUUUGCCACACUGUGUGUACAACAUGACUCAAAUUGAUACUGAUCAUGUGGAUGAAUGGCACGAUACCAUCAUUGAUUUAUUUACCAAAGGUCAAGAUUAUGUGUCUGAUGUUAACCCGGAUAGGCGAACUAUUGACCUUUCAGUCAAUCACUUGAUAGGAGAAGUUACAUUGGAAUUGUUUCGGCUUGUUCAAGUUCAAACCUUAAACUUAUCUCAUAAUAACUUGAAUGGAACAAUACCAAGAGAGAUUGGAGGCAUGAAAAAUAUGGAAUCUCUUGACCUCUCUAGUAAUAAGUUUUAUGGUGACAUUCCUCAGAGCAUGUCUCUCUUAACCUUUUUAGGUUAUUUGAAUUUAUCUUACAACAAUUUUGACGGAAAAAUCCCAAUAGGAACUCAACUUCAAAGUUUUAAUGCAUCAAGUUACGUUGGAAAUCCUAAACUAUGCGGAGCUCCUCUCAAUAAUUGUACCAAGAAAGAAGAAAAUCCUAAAACUGCAAUGCCAUCUACAAAAAAUGAAGAUGACGACUCUAUCAAAGAAUCAUUGUAUCUAGGCAUGGGAGUUGGAUUUGCAGUAGGUUUCUGGGGGAUUUGCCGUUCUUUGUUUCUAAUUAGAAAAUGGAGGCAUGCAUACUUUCGGUUUGUUGAUAGAGUGCGUGACAAGAUCUAUGUUACUUUGAUCGUAAAGUUAAACGGGUUUAAAAGAAAUUGAGCUCCUGCUAUUGUUAAGGUUAGUGGAACCUACUUCAUAGUUUUAUUGAUCUGACUAUAAAGUAUUUGUUUUAUUUUGUAAUUCUAUGCAAAACUUAUAUCCAUUUCAUAUGCUUCAAUCUUUAUCAGGUGAUUAUUAAUGUGAAAGAUUCUGCAUUUUUAUGCAAAUCAUGGAAGGUUACGAGUUGUAUGAGAUGAGAUCAUACAUGACUGUACAGUUGUUGCUGCUCAUUUCAUUUUUCACUUGUUGUAAUGUUUUUGUUCAUUGAAAAACCUUUUAUACAAGCCACGGAAUGAAUGCAUUCAUGUCGACAAUUGUUCUACAUAUAUCUCACCUUAAUUAUUGUACCAAAUGUAGUGAUUUUAGACAAUCUUAUAGAUAGUUUUGUGGAGAAUGUAGAUUACUUCUUUCUAUUAUCUCUCUAUAUUUGUCUAAUUAUAUAAAAAUUUGCAAUGAAAAUACCAAAGAUGAUAGAUUUCAAACUAUACAAACUAAGUCUUACAAAACAGCAUAAGUGUUUGGAUGUUUCUCUCUAUUUCUUACUAAUUAACUUCUUUCAUACUCCAAUAUUUGUACAUAAUCAUAUUCAAAGUUUAAUAUAUAAUUGAGAAUACAUAUAUACUCAAUGCCUUAUAACCCAACACAUUGCAAUGUGAAAGAUCUAUGGAAAAAAUUACCAUCACAUAUAAGAACAGAAUUGUAACAUUCAAUUUGUCAUCCCGGUUUUGGAAUCGGCCGCUACGCAUCACUAUUACCGAAUAUUAUAAAAUUUGAUGAUUAUAUCUCUUUCACGUUUAUUACUUAUCAAUUAACUGAAUGUAUUUCAUGUUUCCUCCUAUUUAUGAUUCGCAAAUAGCACAAGGAAAACAGAAUCUUGCACCUCAAUGAAGCAUGAGUAGAUGCCAGCCAAAGUUGAGAAUUUUCAAUUAUUUCCAUUCAAUUGCAGGAAGGAUUGAUCCCUAAAAUCUGCAGUAUAAAUUUUCCUGGUACUCAAAAAAAGUUUAACUUUGUAUAGAUUAGUUGUCAAGAUAUAUAAGCAAGACUAAAUAAUAAAAACCACUGAUACGUUGUUCCUUGAUGGUUUGAAAGAUAUCCCGUAGCAAUCAUAGAUGAAGUUUGAAAUGAUUUAUAUAGAAGAUACACACAUGCUUGCAGAAUGCUGGUCUGAGAAAUAUUGCACACAUAUAGCAGACAUCUUUUCAACAAAAGGGUUAGAUCCAUAACUAAUCGAAUCAAUAUCUCGGAUACAAUAUAUUGCACAUGAAUGUUGGAGAGACAAAAGGAUAGUAACAUUUAACCCUGCAAGCUGAACAUGGAAAAAGGGUAUGGGGAAAAGAGAGGAUUAGAAGAAAAGGUGGGGUGAGUAAACAAUUGCGGAAGCUGAGCAUGCACCUUUGCGAUGCACACCUCAGUGUUGAUCAAUCAGAUCUUGUUUAUGAAGAUGAUGAAAACGAUGAUGAUUUAGCUGCCGAGUUUAACCAUGAUGAUCUAAAGCAAGAAGCUGAUGAGGAAAUAAAGGAAGAGCUUAACCAUAUGACUGGUGAGGAAAAUAUUGAUGAGCUACAUGCAGCUACUGAGAUUCAUCAAGAUCUACGGCCGUGUGAUCAUAUAAUGAUAGAUGACUCACAGUUUUGUGAUGUAAGUCACGAUAUCAACAACACAACACUUUCAGAUGACGCCGAUGACAUCAAUCACACACAUUUCGGUGACCCCGAUGAGGUCGAUCCACUAGAAAUCAAUCCAACAGAAGAUUUUGUUAAUGCUCAACUUUCUCAUGUUAAUGAUAUAAGUGAACCACCAACAUCUGAUAUGGCAGAAAUGGAAGUAUCUCAACAUUCUUCCAUUGAAACUCAUGGGGAUAUUUCACAGAAAGGUGAUUGUAGUGUUGCUGUAUAGAGUGCAUACCUUACAUACAUUAUUUGUAGACAAGCAAAAUGCAAAUUUUUUUAGGCAGACUUCAUUUUAUGAGAGGUGAUCAUGCCCUGUAUAAUUAUUUAUAUUCAUUUUUUGAUGUGUCACUUGCAUUUUCCUUACAUUAGUGUGUAGUGGAUGAUUUAGAAACAAUCAUUGCAUAUAUUAAAAUUGAAAUUGUAUAUUGAAAAAUUAAUAUGUGUAAUGCUUGUUACUGAUGAUGUAUCGAUGGUUCAUGUCUGUAAUAACCCGCAUGUAAAAAUUCAGUAUCAGUUAUUUUAUCAUUGGAAAAUUUAAGAGAAGGACAAAAUGGUAACUGUUCACAAAACUUUUCAGGACCGAAUCAUAUUAUUCCAACGGACUAUUGAGAAUGGAAUUUGCCGCUUAAAACUUUUACGACAUUUAAUUGGAUAUUUUAGUUUGAAGAAUAGUAUGCAAAGGGCAAAUUGGUCAUUUACAUAAAAAGGUACAAAUAGAAUAAAACUAAAAAAAAUUUCCACAUUCUUCUACACUCUUCUCUCACAAAAAAAUCAGAACCUCCCUCUUCUCUCUUCCCCCUCCCUCACGUGUUCCUUUCUUUCACUCCCACAUUACCUAUUUCACUUUUGUAGCAAAACCAAGCUAGAAAUGACAUUUCAUGUUGUAGAAAAGUGAUUUUUGUGUUGUGUUUUGAGCGUUAGAGGCAAGCUUGAGCAAGAAACAAGAAUAUUGAAGCUAGGGUUUGGCUUGGCAAGAAGAUUGAGGCAGGGGCUGAAUGUAAGUAUAAGUGAUUAAUAGCUUAAAUUGAGGUAAAAGUGAUUAUUUUGAGAAGAAAUUCAAGUUAUGUUGAUUGAUUAGAUGUAUAAGUUGUUACUGACUUUGGGAUUCUAUAUGACUCUGUUUUUGGGCUGUUAGUAGUAUAAAUUUUGUUGNNNNN
rnacentral:lncRNA from 1 species